rnacentral:lncRNA from 1 species
CAAGAUGCUCCAGUAACUGGUAAAAAGAAUUUAUAAUAGGACUCUAAAUCCAGACUUGACCAAACGAAAAGAAAAUCUCCAUAUCUUCCCUAUAUCCUUACAGAACAUCAUUUCAAAUAUAUUGAUUUCUCUCAUUCUCCAACAUUUCUACACCACCCAGAUACAGAAUUGGCAAAUAAAAACCACCCAUAAAACAAUUUCCAUUUUCAUGGAGCAAAAAAACAUGAACCAAAAUGAAAAAUCCACAAUAAACAUCACUAGGAAAACCGCAAAAUUCAAUGGCACUUGCAGGGAUGGCAUACCACAAGAUAGUCUUGUCUGACAUGUUUACCAUGAGGGGGUCUGCAAAGCACCUUUCUUGGCGUUGUUGAGAGUGAAGACGGCGAGUUAUUAGAGAAGAGUGGGUUUUGGUGAUGGGUUUUCACGAAAGUGAAAGAAACAGGUGGUGGGGCUUGGAGUGAUAAGAGCACCGGAGAGUGGCUGUGGGUUUUGAAGCUGAAGCUAUGGCUAUGGAUACGGGGGGAUGUCUGUGCCUGGAGGAGAGCCAUCUUGUUUCAGUUCAGAGCCAAAGAGUGAGCUACUGUGUCUCUCUGUUGGGAUUUAAGACUGCGGGGUUUUGUUAAAUGAGAUUUACGACUUUAUCCAUUACAUUUCUUCUCUGUAAAAGAUAAUUGGAAUGAAAAUAGGAGAUAUAACACAAUUAUUAUUUGAAUGUACAGAUAAUAAAAUAGUCUUUAAAUGUUCCACGUGAUAAAAAGGUCAUUAUUAAAACAUGUUACAUGAUAAAAUGGUUACCUCGUAACAUCUUAAAUGAUAAAAAUGUCUAUUUUCACACUUUUAUAUUACCAUUCUACCAUUCUCUCUAAUCUCUUUCAUCUGUUUACAAUCGAUUCUCAGUCUCCUCUCUCUCUCUNNNNNNNNNNNNNNNNNNNNNNNNNNNNNNNNNNNNNNNNNNNNNNNNNNNNNNNNNNNNNNNNNNNNNNNNNNNNNNNNNNNNNNNNNNNNNNNNNNNNNNNNNNNNNNNNNNNNNNNNNNNNNNNNNNNNNNNNNNNNNNNNNNNNNNNNNNNNNNNNNNNNNNNNNNNNNNNNNNNNNNNNNNNNNNNNNNNNNNNNNNNNNNNNNNNNNNNNNNNNNNNNNNNNNNNNNNNNNNNNNNNNNNNNNNNNNNNNNNNNNNNNNNNNNNNNNNNNNNNNNNNNNNNNNNNNNNNNNNNNNNNNNNNNNNNNNNNNNNNNNNNNNNNNNNNNNNNNNNNNNNNNNNNNNNNNNNNNNNNNNNNNNNNNNNNNNNNNNNNNNNNNNNNNNNNNNNNNNNNNNNNNNNNNNNNNNNNNNNNNNNNNNNNNNNNNNNNNNNNNNNNNNNNNNNNNNNNNNNNNNNNNNNNNNNNNNNNNNNNNNNNNNNNNNNNNNNNNNNNNNNNNNNNNNNNNNNNNNNNNNNNNNNNNNNNNNNNNNNNNNNNNNNNNNNNNNNNNNNNNNNNNNNNNNNNNNNNNNNNNNNNNNNNNNNNNNNNNNNNNNNNNNNNNNNNNNNNNNNNNNNNNNNNNNNNNNNNNNNNNNNNNNNNNNNNNNNNNNNNNNNNNNNNNNNNNNNNNNNNNNNNNNNNNNNNNNNNNNNNNNNNNNNNNNNNNNNNNNNNNNNNNNNNNNNNNNNNNNNNNNNNNNNNNNNNNNNNNNNNNNNNNNNNNUGUCUUUUGCUAAAACAAGUCCACAUGUUAGGUCGUACUCUUUUUUGGUUGUAACAAUAAAGAUUUAAUGUUGGUUUCAUACUUUUUUCUUCAUCGUUGUUAACAGAGCUCGGUCAAGUAGUCAGAAAUUAGACUUGUCGCCAAUGUGUUGUGGUUUUUCUCCCUCCCACAAUGAUAACUGUGAUGUUUAGUUUCAUAUUAUAAAUCUCAACCAGUGUCAUUGUUUACCAAUUGUUAAAAGAGGCUCAAAUUCUCUGCUCCAUACUCCUUAUGAGAAAGUGUUAUUUGCUUGGUGAGCUGAUUCUCUGAGUUAUGGCAUAAGCUUGGAGCCUUGGACUGGUACCUCAUUGAAAGGCUGAAAGCCUUUUUUUACCUUUUCAUGAUGACCUAUUAUGCUGGUUCUGAGUUUAAAUGCUAUCUUAAAAAUUGAUAGAAACCCAGUAAUGUUAUUUGCAUUCAGUCGGGAACAGUUGAAUAAUCCGAGAGCGUAUAACUAUCCAUUUAUGUAACUAUGCAUGUAACCAUCUAUGUAACUAUCCAUGUAACUAUGCAUGUAACUAUCUGACACGACCCACCCCGAAUUUCACCCUGAAACCCGGAGUAAGUCGUGCGGGGACCAUCUUCAAGGAAAAUUUACUGAAAAGAUUGAUAAAAUCUCCCUUGAAAAUGGACAACCCUAACUCGAAAAUUCCAAAUUACACUCUUAAAACAACAUGUCCAAACAUCACAUAAUUAACCUUCAGAAAUUCUAAACAUAAAAUACAAUAAUCCCAAAAUAUUCAGAGCUACUAGACACUAACGGAAGCAAGAAAACACGAGUAGGUUAAACAUGUAACCUACUGAUGAAAACUGGCGGAAAUGCGGGUGACUAUGCCUCGCCUCCUACUAGAUCCAACCCGAACUCUGCAGACUGGGCAAUUUAAAACGAAGGGCCUAGGGAAAACAUUUAAAAACGUUAGAGUGAGUGGACAAAAAUAAAAUAAUAAAUAAAAUAUUUAUGUUUCCCCAAAUUAAUUUCUAAGGAAAAAUCGAAUGCAUGCCGCAAGCGAUAAAACUUUUAUCUCAUAAAAUAUCGAGCCUCUCAGACUCUAUAAUAUAUGUAUGUAUUUACACUCGUCCAUACUCCCUAUAUAAAUUCAUGGGUCUAUAUAGGGCUACUACGCUCGCGUCCAACGCUCACGUCACGCCUUAAUGCGGUGCUACACUACGCCAUUAAGGUAGACAGACGGGUGUAUAAAUAUGUGUCCAUACCCCCUAUAUGAAUUAAACACUCGUUUAGGGUUACUACGCUCACGUCCAACGCUCACGUCACACCAUAAUGCGGCUAUAUGCUAUGCCAUUAAGGUGGACAGACACAUAUGGCUAGCUAGCAUUUUAUAUACAUAAUCUUUCAUAAAUACAUAUUUAUAUCCACCGAAAAUCCCAUUUUCGGUAACUCUCCAAGAGAAAUAAAAUUCGUCAAAUUAAAAUGAUGUCAAAAUAUUCCGCAACAAUUAUUGUUCAACCAUGAACUCUAGCAUGCAUUUUAUUUAAAACAAAAGUUCACUCACUAAUUAGGCCUAAGCCUGAUGUCGAUCUGGGGCCUCGUCUGCUCGAGCCUCCUCACGUCCUGUUCCAAAUAUAAUAUUAAUUUCCCAACUAACAAUCCAAUAUUUAAUCAAAAUAGGCAAAAUUACCCGAGAGCCAUAAAUACGCUCAUCAUUGCCUAGCUUCGAUAUUCUUAAAUCAGAACGAUCCGAACUUAAAUAUCAUCCUCGACAGUCGUAAAUACAACCUCCCCAAAAAUACGACUUAAAUCCUACGGCCGGAUUCUACAUUAAUUAACCGCAAAAAAUACCAAACUUCGGAAAUUCACAAACCUAUCCAAAUCUCAUCCAAAAAUUCCAUAAAUCACAUCAAUAUAAUCCCCUUAAUAUUCCACAUUUAAAACCCUAAAAAUCUCCCAAACCGCGGCGGUACCGGCGGCGGCCGGAGGCCAUUUCCGGCGACCUCCAAAACCUAUGAAAUUUUGACAGCAGCUUCCUCUCAUCAUGCUCUACAACUUUCCUAACUAGCACAAACCCAAAAUCCAAGCCUAGCUAUGCCAAUCGAACAGAAACAUCAAAAACGCUAUAGAAUUUCAACUUCACAUUUCUCCUUACCUAGCUUAAGAGAGGGUGAGCUGUUUGGAGGGGUUGCUGCACGGGAGGAGGGCUACAAAACGAGCCAAGGAUCGCCGGUUUUGGUGGCCGGAGGAGGGAGUUCCGGCGAGAAGACAAACGGCGUCCAAGGAGGAUUUCCUCCGAUCGGCGGGGCUGCAGCCCCGCUCACCAGCCCAGGAAGGCGGCGGGGAGGACGACAGACCGUGCUGGAGUGGUGCGGCGUCCCUGCUUGGCCGGACGACAGCGGCGAGAGGAGGUUUCCGGCGGAAGAAGAGAGAGAGCUCGGGAGUGGAAACCGGGAGGGAGAGAGANNNNNNNNNNNNNNNNNNNNNNNNNNNNNNNNNNNNNNNNNNNNNNNNNNNNNNNNNNNNNNNNNNNNNNNNNNNNNNNNNNNNNNNNNNNNNNNNNNNNNNNNNNNNNNNNNNNNNNNNNNNNNNNNNNNNNNNNNNNNNNNNNNNNNNNNNNNNNNNNNNNNNNNNNNNNNNNNNNNNNNNNNNNNNNNNNNNNNNNNNNNNNNNNNNNNNNNNNNNNNNNNNNNNNNNNNNNNNNNNNNNNNNNNNNNNNNNNNNNNNNNNNNNNNNNNNNNNNNNNNNNNNNNNNNNNNNNNNNNNNNNNNNNNNNNNNAUAAAAAAAUUACCUUUUACUAGCUAAAAUUUAUCAUUUUUACCGCCAUCGUAUUUUCUCCCACGAAUAAUCCUCCGCACACAAUCGUCCCCGAAACCCCUCUAGGGACCAAUUAAACUAUUAACUGAAUGACGGAGACGGUAAAAUUCUUAUUAUAAUCAAGCUAGUAAAUAAGGUAAAAAUAUAAGGGUCGGGAUGUGACACUAUCCAUCUAUGUAACUAUCCAUGUAACUAUCUAUCUAUGUAACUAUCCACGUAACUAUCCAUCUAUAUAACUAUCCAUGUAACUAUCUAUCUAUGUAACUAUCCAUGUAACUAUGCAUGGUAACUAUCUAUCUAUGUAACUAUGCAUGUAACUAUCUAUGUAACUAUCCAUGUAAUUAUCCAUCUAUGUAACUAUGCAUGUAACUAUCCAUGUAAUUAUCCAUCUAUGUAACUAUCCAUGUAACUAUGCAUGUAACUAUCCAUCUAUGUAACUAUGCACGUAACUAUCUAUCUAUGUAACUAUCCGUGUAAUUAUCCAUCUAUGUAACUAUCCAUGUAACCAUCUAUGUAACUAUCCAUGUAACCAUCUAUGUAACUAUCCAUGUAACUAUGUAUGUAACUAUGCAUGUAAUCCAUGUAACUAUUCAUCUAUGUAACUAUCCAUGUAACUAUGCAUGUAACUAUUUUAUGUAACUAUGCAUGUAACUAUGCAUGUAACUAUCUAUGUAAUUAUCCAACUAUGUAACUAUCCAUGUAACUAUUUCAUGUAACUAUGCAUGUAACUAUUUCAUGUAACUAUCCAUCUAUGUAACUAUCAAUAUAACUACAGAUUGAUAGUUACCUGGGUAGUUACAUACAUGUUACACUUGUGUACCUGCUUAUGUAACUAUUCAUGUAACUAUCCUUGUAACUAUUCAUGUAACUAUCCAUGUAACUAUUCAUGUAACUAUUCAUCUAUGUAACUAUCUAUCCAUGUAACUAUUCUUGUAACUAUUCAUGUAACUAUCCAUGUAACUAUUCAUCUAUGUAACUAUCCAUGUAACUAUCCUUGUAACUAUCCUUGUAACUAUCCAUGUAACUAUUCAUCUAUGUAACUAUUCAUGUAACUAUCUAUGACAUGUUUGGUGUACCUAAAUUUAUCAGGACACCCAACACUCCAGCUCACUUCACCACAAUAACAGUAAUAAUACAACUUUGUUCAACUAUUAGAGCAACUCAGUUUCUCUAGCUCUAAGUUUUAUAAUCAAUCAACCAAACAAUUCAAUUAACCAAAGAGCAUGAAAACAUUUGUCCAGACAUGCCUUAUUCACUUAACGAACCAAAAAGAGCAAAACUUGAUCAACACUACUCUCAACCAGUUCCCUUUGGAUACUAUAUGCUCACUUAUAGAUCUUUACCUUAUUUGCAACCAAAUGAAGGUCACCACUUUUCUAUUAUAUCAUUUACGAAUGAUGAACAGAUACCAGCACAAUUUAAAAGUUUCCAAAGGACCAACUAACCUUGUUAUCAGGUAGAGUUCAAAGCAUUAUUCAAAUCCCCUAGUAGAAAACUCCAUUGACGUGAACCCAGCUAUUGGAAUCAUCCUCCAAAUAUCCUUCAUCUCCACAACUUCACUGAAUUUAUGAUUUUGACCAAACUCAUCCACAACUUCACGGAGCCUUUGGUGGUGCUGCCCAUUCCAAACUCAUCCAAAUUGGUCUUGCCGACCACAAUCCCACCCAGCUCCUUAAUCUUCCUCACAGCAGUAGCAUCAUACGGCGGCGUGUACCUUUCCCAAACUCUCGACCCUGCCGUGGACGGCAUCUCCGCCGUGCAUACGUUGUCCUUCACGGCCACGAGCACCCCGGCCAGGGGGCCCACCUCCUUAUUCCGGCGAAGCUUCUCGUCGAGGUCGCGGGCCUGGGCGAGGACGGUGGUGUCGGAGACGUGGAUGAAGGAGCGUGGCCCAUAGAUCGGAGAAGAUGUAGUGCCACUGAUGUAGAGAGAGAGAGAGAGAGUGUUUGUUUUGUCAGUGGUAUAGAUGGUUAAUUUUUUUUAUUUUCAUGGAUAACGGUUUAAGGGAUUUAAAUAAGUGUACUAUUUUAUCAUCAAUGAAUAUUUAUUAACAGUUUUAUCAUUUGUUACUUCUAAAAAGUAUAUUUUUAUCUUUAGCCCAAUAAAAUCAAAAAAUAAAGAAUAAAAAAAAUAAAAUAAAAACAUUCAACAAUUUUAAUUAAAGAAAUUUAUUUUUAAACCGUGUCAUCGUCAGCAAAAUCAUUGUGGAAGAUGAUCCUAAAGUCGGGUGAAUGAUAUAUCAAGGCAUCAAGCAACUGCAAGAUCAGUUCUAGAUCAUGGUAAUUCUUUUCCUUCCAUUCGGUUUCACUGCCUCUUCCUUAUUGUGUCCCUAUCGUUCCCCAUUUAGGGAGAUGUAGCAAGAGGUUUUGCUUUGUAGUUGUUUUGUGGGUUCCCUUGUUUUGUUUUAGUCAAAAUCAGCAAAAUACCUCUUAAAACUUGGCUUAAAUGGCCAAUUUGUACCCACAAGUUGCAAUUGCGUCAAUUUACCUCCAAAACUUGAUAAAAACUGUCAAUUUGCACCCCCUCCAUCAAAUUUAAUGUUCCAUCCAAUUUUGAGUCACAUGUCAUAUGACAGGUAAUACUGUCAUUUAACAUAUAGUCAUAUAUAUACAGUCAUUUUCAAAUAAGGACCUCCUUAUCUUAGUUAAGGUACGGAUUUUUUUAAUUUGACCUAAUUUCCGAUCAGCCGUUCAGUAUUUAGAUAUAUAUGACUUGAUCAUCUCUGCAAAUUUUCAGCUAAUUUAGUUAUCUUUAAGGUAUCGAAAAUGUAUUAAAUCAAUGAACGAACAUAAUUUGUUCAUCCUGAACCGUACGUUCUUUUAACACUAAAUCACAGUUUUGAAUGCCUUAACGAUUAUCAAUUUGACUGAAAAUUUGUAAAAAUGAUCUACUCAUAUAUACCUAGAUACUGAACGGUUAAGAUGAGAAAAUGUGAUCGAAAAGUAGGUCUAUUAAGGAAAUCCGUACCUUAACUAAGAUAAGGAUAUCCUUAUUUGAAAAUGAUUACAUAUACAUAUAUAUACACACACACAAUCUUAUUUAUUCAAAAGGUACGGAUUUUUCCAAUAGAACCACUUUUAGGUCAUAUUUUUCGAUCAUAGCCAACUAAUAUCUAGAUAUAUAUGACAUGAUCAUCUUUGCAAAAUUUCAACUAAAUUGGUGAUUGUUAAGGUGUCGAAACUAUAUGAUUACAAUGUGCGAACCAAAUCUGUUCAACUGGAACCGUUCGUGUAAUUCAAAGUUUUGAAUACCUUAAUUAUUAUGAAUAUGACUGAAAUUUUGUAGAGAUGAUUUACUCAUAUAUACCUAAAAGAUGAACAAUUGAGAUGAAAAAAUAUGAUCGAAAAGUAGAUCAAUUAAGAAAAUUCGUACAUUUUGAAUAAAUAAGGAGGUUUGUAAGGAAAUUCGUUAAAGUUGCAAAGUUUUCAUUUAUUUUUAUUAUUUAAAAGAUAAAUAUAUAUAUAUAUAUAUGUAUAUAUAUAUCAGGCCUUUCUAGAUAUUACCUUUAUUACCUUUUUUUCUUUUAAAAGGGUAUCAUUUUGGGACUAAUGUUGUAACUAUUUUUUUUUACAACUUUAACGACUUAUAUUACAACUUUGAAGACUCAUUUUAUAACUUGAGGACAAAGUUAAUGCAUCACAUGUGUCAACACACCCUAGCCUUACCCAAAUUAAAAACCCUUAUUUAAAAUGGAAAAUUUCAUUAUGUACAAAAUUGUCGGAAAUAAAUUGUACAAAAUUUCAUCAUGUCUUUCAUUAUUACUACCUAAUUGCAUCUAUAACUAUUGAUUACAAUUUAAAACCCUUAUUUAAAAUGGAAAAUUCUACAAUGUGUUAGCAUGUGAAUGUUGUGAUGCAUCAUCAACUUUGUAAAUUGAGUCCUCAAACUAGUAAUAUUAGUCCUCGGAGUUGUAAAAUUUUCUAGUUACAACAUUAGUCAUCAUGUGUCGUUAAAGUAGUAAAAUUUGUGCUUCAAGUGGUAACUGUGUCCUCAAACUGAUUAAAAAGAAGUUGUUACAAUUUUGAACACUCAUAUUACUACUUUGAGUCUUUGAGUACUAUAUUACCACUUUAAGGAUAAAUGAAGACUAAUGUCGUAACUAAUUUUUUUUUUACAACUUUAAGAACUCAUAUUACAAUUUUGAGGACUAACAUUAUUAUUUUGAGGACUCAUUUUACAACUUGAGGACAAAGUUGAUGCAUUGCAUGCAUUAACACACCCUAGCAUUACUCAUUUAAAAUUUAAUAAAUUGUAAAUGCCACGUGGCAGCGAAUUCAUAUUUCUAACGGGUGGAAACUGCUGUCUUUUCUAAGUGACCCAGAGUGACCCAACGGGUGAACUUGCUCUGAAAGGUGUUUUGCCACCCUCACUUAUCACUUAGUAUCUACUAGAAACAUUGUUAAAAUAGAAAAUAUCUUUCUAUAGGGAUCGUCUAGAAAGUGGAUUGUUCUGAAUAGAUUCAGACAUAAAAGCUGACAUAGACGUUAUGGGUCGGUAUUUUUUUUUUUAUUUCGUUCAUGUCUAAAUAUGGGAAUUUAUCCAUCUUCCAUAAAGGAGCUGAACGAAACCAAAGUUUCACGUUCAGGGCAGACUUGCUCAAGAUUAGAACCGUCUUGGGGGGUGCCGAUCAGAUUCCAUGUCUACAUGUCUACAUUGGAAUGUCUGAUUUCAUUUAUUUACGAGUAUUGAAAUUUGCACUUCCCAAUAUACAAUCCACACUCCUUCUAUCCUCUUUUAGUAACUUAAUUAUUGCCUUUGCCUAAGCAUGGCAUUUGAACUUAAUUUUUUGUCAUUACUUACAAGUGUUUUAUUCUCUUAUAAAAAAUUUUGCCCUAGAAAGAAAAUGUAGAUUGUAAAACGAGGAGUGCAAAUUUCUUUCCCCUUAUUUAAUUUUGAGUGUUUGUAGUUGUACAUUAAUUCAGUCUCUAUGCGACUUGGUCUACUUUUUAAAGGGAGUUAAGUAGUGAGAUGAGCGUUCUUUUCUGUAAGCUUAAUAAUUGAGCUAAACCUGUUUGCAGUGAGGGUAUUCAUUAGAUAGUUUGAUUUGCUUACUACCAAAGAGAUUUGGUGUAAGCCAAUAAUUGAGGUAAGUGUCUUUUAUCAUAGAUAAAUAUUAUCUGUUUCUUUCAACAAAAAAAAAAGAAAAAAAAAAAGAGCUAACUAGUAAAGCUCCUUACCGUUACUUUGUAUUAUGUUUUUGACAUUUUGGUCUUAUGAUUUUUGGGCAUCCGGUCUCCUUUAUGAGAUUAUAGUCAUUAUACUCCCUCAAAAUUCAAGAUCAAACUCGUCUCCUUUCAUCUUAAGGCUUAUUGUCAUUCUGCCAAGAAGUCGGAUACUUCGACACAAAAGAAUUCUUUCAGAAUUCAUCAUGGUUUUUUACACCAUAGAUAAUUGUUUUUUAUACCGUAUCAAUAAUCAAUUUUCUUGGUAGGUCAAAACACUGAUUGCCUGCUCAAAGAGAGAACAUGUACAUUAGAAUGAGGUAGAUGUGUUAUUAUACCUACAAUAACUACUUAUAUCUUACAUGUUAAUUAGUCCACUCUUCCUCACCUUAUCAUCCAAAGGUUCUCUCCUUUCUUCUUCUUAGUGUUACAUAUAUACUACAUUUAAAUCUAUACAUAUAUAGAGAGAUAUUGCAUACUCAGAAGCAUGAUCAUUUGUUCCUUAACUUCUUCCAAUUCUUAAUGAAGAAUCAACGCCUUUGCCGGCACCAGCAGCAAAGAUCCUUGCAAUCUCCAACUGUGUAUUGGCAAUAAUUUCUGUUCGCUUCAGAUCCAUCUCUCCUCUCUUUGCCUCUGCUUCAACUCUCAUCCUCUCUAUCUCUCUCAUUGUGUCCAUUCUUGAUUGCUCAGAUCUUACCACAACCUCAGCUAACCAUCUUAUACUCUCGGCUAUCUCUAAUUCCUCCCUUCUUCUUCGUGUCUUCUUCUCGAUUUUCCUCUUCAUUCUCUUGGACCUUAACUUCUCCUUAUCACUAUAAAGGGCUGGUGUGCUACUGUCUAUCUCCAAUGGGUUCUUGUCCGAUGCAUGGUCUGAUAAUUUCAUCCCCGCUUCUUCUUCCUGCAUAUUAAUGAUUCAGUGUUACAUUUCUGUCACUCAUAAAAUCCAUCAUAUGCAUUGAUCGUUUCUCAAGUGCCAGCAGUCUUGGGUGCAUAGUACUAGGAAUUAAGUGCAGUUAAACUCAAUAGUCUGUAGACUUGCACCAACAAAUCAAAUGUGGAAUAAUCAGCUAGCCUACGUGUUUGUUUUGCAGGCUGCAAAACUGUGUUCACAUCAAUAUUCAAAUCACCAGGUGCUUUGAUUGUGCAUCCUUUGGUAAAGUCAAAAAUGUCAAAAAUCUUAGUCAAGGGGCCUCUUCUUAGUUUCUAAUACAGAAGAUGGGUAAAAGUUAUUAUUGAUUUAUAUCAGGACAUGGGUUCCUGCGCACUUAGUUUCUCUGUCGUUUGAGCACAUGAUCCAUACAUCAUACUUAUCUAUAUGCCAAGGGAUGUAGGGUUUACAAUAAAACUAGGAUGAGAAGGAUGAACAAUUGGACACCCAAUUGCUUAAAACAGACUUUGUGGACUAAAAGCCAACGAUCCCCAGAUUAUAAUGCCUGAUAUCUGGGCACGUUUGAAUCUUUAUUCUUCUUGGUUUGAUGGGCAAAGUUCCAAUGAAAACUCAAAAUAAAAAAUAAAUAAAACAGGUUGCUGCGUCAUGUAGACACUGACCUUGGCAUCCCUAUCAACACCAUCAGACCCGAAUGAAUUCUGUGCAGUUCCUAAAUGCGGAGGAGGUGGCGGUGGAAGCGCCGGUUGAGUCGGCGGUGACACCGGCACUGAUGGCUCCAAUAGCAUCAGGGCGUGGUUGCUCUGAUGAGUCACUAGCGGUGGUUGAUGCGGAGGCGCUGGUGGAGCUACAGCUGCUACAACAGUUGCUGCUGCUGCUGUGGGUGGAGGUGGUCCGCUGCCACGCAGCAAAAGAUCAAGUCGUGGAUAAAGAGGCCAAGAUGAGCCAUCAGCGGUGGCCGACUCAGAGCGGUAGCGUUUCUUCAUGGACUCGAUCUUGUUCUUGCACUGCGUCUGAGUCUUGGGCGACUUGGAGCAGCCCCCACGCGACGAGACAUGUCGGGCAACAUCUUCCCAGUCAUGGCCUUUGAGUUUGGCUCUGUUUCUGAGGACCCAUUUGGCCUCAUAAGCCUCCAGAAGACUAGACACAGCUCCUUCACUCCACUCAUCUCUCUUCAGCCUGUCACUACCAAUCAAAGGCUUUGAUCUUGGAGACUCCAAAUUGUUAGAGAGGAGAGAUGGGGUUUGAUCCUGGUUACCCUCUUUCUCCAUCCCUCUCUCUCUCACUCUUGCUCAGUUUUUACCCUUGAAUUUUGGGUAAGCUGCUAACAUGUUCACCCACCAAAACAAGUUUAAGCACAACCCACUAGCAUUUUAGAGAGAAGAAAAGGAAGAGCUAGCUAGUGUGAGAGAGAGAGAGAGAGAUGGAGAUGAGAAAGGGAGCACUACCCACUAGCAUUUUAGGCAUAGUGAAAGAGAGGAAAGGCAAAAUGAUAGUGGGCAACCAUGGAAAUGGAGGUGGCUUUUUGUCAAAUGAGUAAAUGAUGUGAACCUGUGAACUUUGUUUUCCCUUUUUUCACUUUUGGAGAGGGAGGUGGAGCUAUGUGAUGGUGAGGAUGUUGGUUUUAUUGUUGUGGUUGGAUUGUUUUGGCUGUUAGCGUUGAUAUGAAGCCAAGUGAUACAUCCACUUGGGGAUAUCAGAGUGGUGGUGGUGGUGAUGGUGGUGGGUCGGUCUGUCACGUGGGUCUGCCACCCACUCCAUCCAUCCCAAUUUUCUCAUUUCACCAUCUCUAUUCUCUCCUUCACCACUACCAUCCAAUAUGCUACGGCCAUUCAAAUACUUGAGCUGCCCUUUUUCGGGUCCUCCACCUUUCUGGCUUUCCUUUACGCACUUUUGAUGGAUUCAUCACCACUUGAGCUAUAGUGUAGUGUUGGUGCGGGAGAGAGAGCAAUCAGCAAUGGUUUGUAAGUUGUAAUGUAACGCGGUUUCAUUUCAGUUGGCACAUAUUAUUAUUCUGCUUGGAAUUGUUGGUGUGGGUGGGUGGCUUGAGGCCAAUUGCCACUCAAUGGCAUGAAACUUUAGGAUUACCGAGGGUUGGGCGUGGGACGGGAUGAGAUGAGAUUUAGUUAAUCCUGCGGCUCAUCCUGUACAUUGCACUCGGGAUGGAAUCGGGACAGACUUUACGUUUUUGAAAUUCUAUCCCGGUCAAGUUCCGUCCCGGACAGAAUCGGGAUGGGACAGGACGGGACAGGCCCAAUCCCAUUGUCCCAACCGAAUCCCAGAUGGAGAAAAUCCAAAUAGUUGAGAUAUAACACUUCACUCAUAAUCAACUGUUAUAUGAGAAAAUAAUGAAAAUAAACGUGAGUAAAUAUGCAUUCAUCAGGUCUUCAAACUCUCAAAAUAAACAAUCAUCUUUGGAUUCUUUGUUUACUAAGUUGUUUACAAAUUUUACAAAUUGGAUCAAAUAGAAAAGUGAACAGAUUAUUCUAAAAAAAAAGUGAACAGAUUGAAGAUCAAAGCUAAUAACAACCGAACUUUAUACCAUAGAUGGUUUGUAACAUGAAAAGUCCAGGAUGAAAUUCUAACCAAGCAGACACAUAGCCUUCAAUCAUCAUUUGAAGCAACAGAAACUUAUGUUGGUUAAUCGAUGUUAGCCUACGUCGAGGACACAAUAAGUUACUUCAUUUUAUUAAGUUCACUACAGAUAUCAUGCUAGAUCUAUACAAACAAACUCAAUAUUCAAAAUUUAAGAACAUUUUAAAUCCCAGAAACCCAAUUACCAAUAGAAAUCCCAUAAACCCAAUUACCAAUACCUCAACCAAGAAUUGACAUACCAUCCAGGCAUCCAACACAAUUAUCCUUCAAAAUUUGUUCAACACAAAAAUCAAAACUUUCGUAGCUAAAACAAUGGAUAGCACUAAAACACGGCUUCAUGAAAAGCACACAAAACUAGUAAAAUUUGCAGAAACAGCUUAAACUCUAGCAUGUCCUGAAUCAAAACGUCAAAACCUUUUGGGUGAAGACUAGAAGAAGAGCGACUGAGGUUUUGAGAUUUCAAGUUUACAUCUUCAAUUUAAGGUUUUGCUGGAUUGAGGUUGAGAGCGAUUUGCAAUUUGGGUUUCGUGUUUUGGGACGAGAGUCUGAGAGACUAGUCAGACUACUGCGAAUGAGAUGGGUUAGUAUUAAUGUUAAAAAAAUUAACGGUUAGGAUGAAAGAAACCAACGGAUGAGAUUACUUCUUAUUUAUAUAUGGGACGGGAUGGGACGGGCCUUACAGACCUCAAAUAUUCAGUCCCACGGCCCGUCCCGGCUUUUCUUUAACGGGACGGGAUGAGACGGACCCAAUAUUUUUAUAUUUUGAUCCCGUCCUAUCUCAUUAAAUUUCGAGACGUGACCUAGACGGGAUCGGGAUUAUAGUUUUUUAUGCCCAGCCCUAAGAUUGCGGGGUGGGUUCUUAAACAGAUUGUUGUAUAAGAAGGUAUAGAGACAUUAUGGGUUGCCUGCGCAUUUUCCCAUUUUCGGUAUUUACAUGAGGGGCAACAGUGCAGGAAAGUAUAAACAACUUAAAAAAAAAAAAAAUCCUAUUUUUUGCAAGGUCGGGUGCAAAAUUUUCUACCUCCAAGAGUUUUUAUAUAUUUUGUCAUUGUCAAUAUAACUUAUUAACUUUAUCUCAAAUUUUAGGCUACGAAUUAAAAUUAUAAUAUAUUCAGUGACUAAACUAAACGGUUAAAAUCGAUCAAAAGUUUAGAAAGUUGAUGAUUGGCUCAAAUUCUCUGUCAUGUGUUUGGUUAUGUUCAAUUCGUACCAAAAUAUUCAAAGACCAUUAUUUGAAGCUCACCGUCACAGUGUUCACGUACUCUCUAGUCUUCACCACUUUCUUCGAUCUUUACAACUCUCGUCUUGAUAAUGCUUUGAGGUUUGAGAGCUUGCCAUUGUUCACUUUGAUUCCUGUUUGAGCCCAGCGGGGAUUUUGGUCCAAGACUCGUAAUAAGUUUUGGAUAGCAUUUGGGCCAGUGCCUGUGAUCAUUUUUUAAAAAUGAAGCCCAUGUAGGGUGGCGAGCUCUGGAGGCACGCGAGGUAGAAUUUGACAAGGACUGUGUUACCUCGCGAGGUCCUCGUUUCAGUUCGCGUAGGAGUCUACAGUGCUUGGUGGGGAGAGGCAGUAUUAGAAGCCUAAGCGGAGUAUGUUAUGACACGUGUUACGUGGAUAGCGCAGUUCGCGAGCAAGGCGUGUCCCUGUGUUAUUCUAAAUUGUUGAGUUCGAAUGGGUUUGUGAUUGUAUCUCUGUUAGCUAAUCACGGGAUGCUAUAUAAAGGAGCUCGAGGAUUAUUCAAGGGACACAAAAAACUCAUACAAAACUGCAAAAAAAUCUUCGAGCAUUCUUGAAACCCUAAAGUUCUAAGUGCACCUCGCCUUAGUUCUCAGAGCCCGUUCGGACUCGUCCUUUCUUCUUGAUUAUUGCUCUGCUCUGCUCACUCUAACAGUGAGUAUCGAUUCACAGGUGAACAAGGUUUGCUCGUAAUCCCUCGUUCGCUAGGUGGCACCGGAAACCCUUUCGUUUGAUUAGAAGUCCAGCAUAGCGCACUCAUUCCGCACCCGCGCGGUGGCACGCCCCGCAACCUUGUUUUUCUUACUUUUGACAUCACUAGAGUUGCAACUCUACCCCUACUGAGACGCGUGGCCAAAACAUUGGCACGCCCAGUGGGACCGGGAGUAUAACGUUCUUGCCACCAUUGGGAAGUCAGUGGAUCCCCGUACGGGAAACCCUCGAUUUCUUGUCUCAAACACAAGGUACCACGCUACAAGCCCCAUAACAGCGCGGCUUGCCGAUCUCUCACCCGAGAAGAGGUUUUUGCUCAGUUUGGCAACCCAGACUCCAACGAAAUCAUAAUGACAGGUUCACGACCAACCCAAGAUACAAGAUCUACUCUGUCUGUGGAGGAAAUCGGCCAGAUGUUUGGAGAACUGAAGAACGAGCUCAACUGCCUCAACUCGAAAGUCGACACCACCCAGCAGAGCGUCAUAGACCUUGCCGCACAGGUCACAAAGGAUAGGACCCUCUGGGAGGCUAACCACGACAACCUCGCCGUGCUCAGCGAGGAUUUUAGCCACCAUUCAGGCCAAUACACAGAAAACAAGGCCUUGGUCGAAGGGUCCCUCCAACGAAUCCAAAAGGAUUUGAUUGACAACACAGAGGCCCUGAAGCUUACCCGCGCAACAGUGGAUGAGCAAACUCGCCGCUUGGACGAACACGAUGCCAAGUUACAGCGACAACAGGAUGCCUCUUACUUUGGCAGUAAGAAUAGCCAGGAAAGGCUCGAAGACUUCAAAGAACGACAUGAUAGUCUGAGCUUGAGGGUCUUACAAGUAGAAGAUUGGAUGUGAUCUCAAGCACCAAAGAAUCCUGCCCUUGACUUAACUGGUGCAGGUGCAACUGAAGGCUCAUCAAGGUACAUUCCACCUAACGAGCGCCCUAGGGCUAACCCAAGGGUUGGGGCUCAGAAAACCCCUCAAUUCGCGUUGGGGGCUAGUUCUUCAAAGGCACCGCCAACUCCACCUUCUCCGCGCAGCCCCGGAGUCACACUAAGGGGCGCUAGUAGCUCUCCAUAUCAGGGGACCGGGACACCAGAUGACCCAGUUAUAGCUUAUUCCAGUCCAGCCUCUAAGAACAUUGGGCAGGCCCCUAGCCUCUCUGCAUGGCACAACCAUGACUAGGGGGCAGAAUCUACACCAGUAACGACAGCCGACUGGCGCCAACUUAUCUCGAGUAUAGUCAAGGAGCAAACCGGCAAAGGUGAUGCUAACUUGCACUAUCGCGACCCCUACCCAGAUAGUGUGGCGCAGUACCCUUUCCCCCAAGGGUUUAAGAACAUUGUCUUUACAACAUUCUCUGGGGAGACAAGGGAAGAUGCAUCAACGCAUAUGGCCCAUUUCAAGGUCCAAUGCGGUCAAUAUGGGAAUAAUGACAUUCUCAAACUUAAGCUCUUUGGGACUUCUCCAUCCGGAGCUGCUUUCACUUGGUACUUCAGGUUGAAACCAGGGUCAAUAGCAGACUAGCCCACUAUGGAAAGACUUUUCCGAGAGACGUACGACACAAUUGAGCCAGAAGUCGGCCUCGACUCCCUCACACAGAUGAGUCAGCAAAACAUGGAGUCUGGAGUUUCUUUCCUCCAACGCUUCAAGAUCCAGCAAGCCAAGUGCGAUUACCUGCUACCUGAGCAGGAAGCCAUUAAGUUGGCUAUUAGAGGCAUGGAGCACCGUCAGCGGUUGAAGCAUCACGAAGAGUGCUUUACUUCCAUAGGUGACCUGAUUAACAAGGUCGGCAGCUACGAGCUAAUCCUGAACGAGUUGGACGACAAAGCGAAUGCUUCCAAAGGAACCUACAUGCCAGGGAAGAAUCGGACAGUGGGGGCACUAAACUUGCAGGCCCCUACUUAUGAUCCAUAUUAUCAAAGAUUCGAGGAAGCUCAUGCGGAUCAGGACCAAGAGGAUAUUGGCACGGUAGAACUGUCUAGCAAGCCAUUAGCUCAUAAGUUAAAAAACCUGAAGAUAAUGAGUGAGCCAAUCACCAUUCAGUCCUUUGCAUGGACCAAACCAGAGUACGAGUCAUACACCUAUGAUACUAAGAACGCCCAUCUGGUCUUUAAUGACCUGAUCGAGGCGAGAUACGUGCGCUUGGAUCAUAAGAACCCGCCCAAGGAAGAGUUGAAGGAUAAGAAGUACUGUGCCUUCCAUAAUGUUUACAAUCAUGACACCAAAGAUUGUGUCAAGCUCCGAGAUCAGUUGCAGACAUGGCUGAACUCUGGCGAACUAAAGCUGAAGACGCCGGGUAGUACAGCCUCGUUGGUGGAUGUAGACCCUUUUCAGCCUUUAGUUGGCAUGGUCGAGGUAAACUGGGCUGAUCAGGCCGAAGAUGAAGAUCGACGCCGGGCACCUAAAAGGGCCGUGAAGAGGGUGAUAAUAAUGCUCGCUGGCUGCAUCGCCAAUAUACCUACAACGUCAACCUCGCUCACGAGGUUUUAGACGAUCUCAUCGACGACGAACUCGUCACGGUGGCCAGCUCCCUACCUUACAUAGAAUACAAGGAAAGGUGCGUACAUUGCAAGUUCCACAACAGCUGGGGGAACAUAACCCGCUAAUGUCAACAACUUAGGGACCAGGUCCAAGAUUGGCUCGACCUCGGGUACAUUCGUUUUGAAAACAAGGGAGACAUCGCUUGGCCUCGAGUCGGCCAGCGGAAAAUAACAUUGGAUUUGUCACCAAACGCAGGUCUACGUGAACCUCCAGGCCGAAACCGUAAACGGCUGGCGAACAAUUAUACCGUUCUAACUAACCAAAAGGGGAACACAGACGACCCUGCUCGCCAGUUGGUCGCUAAACUCGAGCCCGAUCUCCCUUCCCUCAAAGAUAAGGGCAAAGCAAUUAUGAGGGAUGAUAAACCGUCCCCCACUGAGAACUACCAACCCAUGAGUCCCAGGACCCGUGAGGAGUUGGAGCAGAGGAUAGAACGCCUCGAGAUGUUUGUCUAUUCUCACUGGGUGGAAAAGGAACCAUCAUCUUCUGCCACAAGCGAGAUGGAUAUGUCGGACGCUAGCAACGACCACCCAGGAAACACAGCUGCCAGUCCUCGUGGAGGUAUCUUGACCGACCCCUAUAUUCCUCCAAUGUCUAAGUCAGCAAUUAAGGACGGGGUAUGGUACACAUAGCAAGGGGGCAAGGCAGUUACCAUUAGUAAGUCCAAAAAGCGAAAGCUCCAAAAGCAGUAUGGUAGCAUCAUGCGGGCCUUAAGAGCUGUCGACGAGGGCGCUGUACGACCUUCACAACUCGCACAGACACCUGAGCGGAUGUGGAGGGAGGCAAAGGGUUUGCGCGCAUUCCUUCAAAUGCCGCCUGUCACACCCCCAAGGAUUUGCGAGCAUUUCGUAGACGAGCCUGCACCCAAAGCAAACGUCUUCUGCCGACUCGCGGUUCCACCAAAGCAGGACCCAUAACCCUCCAGGCGCAAGCCGUCACCCGAGCCUGAAAGGAGAAGGGAUCCAUAACCUUCCAGACGCAGGCUGACACCCGAGCCUGAAAGGAGGAGGGAUCAUUAACCUUCUAGAUGCAAGCCAUCACCAGAGCCCGAAAGGAAAAGGGACUCACAAGUUCCCAGGCGCAGGCCGUCACCUAAAUAGGAGCCCGAGAGGAGAAGAGAGCCGCAUACUGGUCCCAGACGAAAGUUUUUUAUGACCCCAGAACCAGAGUCAAGGCGCGAAACGCCUCAGCCCUCACGGCGCCAGGAACCUCAAAAUCCGGAACCCGAAACCAAAAGGGAACCACCACAACCACAUCAGCCUCGAGUACAAUCUACACCGGAGAUAGAGACUUGGAUGGUUUCCCGGGUAUCCGCCCUGCAACGGUUGAAAAAGGAGGACAACGACAAGUCCCCUUCGGCCGCGGACAAACAAUCAGCAGGGGACCAGCAGCCUUCAACCAAGGCAGUAUGGCGCCCACGGCAGAUAGAGACUCGCGCGCCACCAGUUGCCGAAAGUGCAUCUUCCAACCCUAACCUUGCUCAGCAGAUGACCCAACGUUUCCCUGAAAAUUCAGCGGACGACGAGGCGCACUCCGAACCUCGGUUUAACCUAGACGAGGACCAAGAAGAAGAGCAGGGGGAAUCAUUCACCUGCAAAAUGGUAGAGGUCUUAGGAUGGGUUGACGACGAAGGGGUUAACCACGGAGCAGACGCCUUCGCGGUGCUCGAGGGGGAGCACGGGGUCAUUAACACUCCGCUGGUCCCAGUCCGCGAACAAUUCUCCUUUGAGGUCGGGAUAGUGUUCUUCAUAUCGGAGAGAUACGCUCUGCCGCCAAACACAACCUAUAGCGCGGACGAUAUUCCAGUCAGCAGCGAGAGCGUCAGUAGCAUACCCCCGCCAGCUCCGGCACCAGUCGACGACUCCCCACAAGUGGAGAUUACGAGCAACAUCAAACAUAAGCAAACUUUGACCUUUUCAACACCAACCUUAGACAUGGCCACUCACAUGCGGCCACUGUAUAUCACGGCCGAAGUCGAAGGGAAGAUGAUCAACAAAGUCAUGGUAGAUACAGGCGCUGCAGUCACUAUCGUUACGACCCGCACCAUGGGACUCCUAGACAUCCCGCGCUCGAUGAUCCAGACUACGUCCUUAAUAGUCAAGAACUUCACCGGCCAAGUCUCCAGGACCCUAGGCCUGCUAUUUCUACGAGUUAAGGUCGGACCGGCAUCACGGGUUUACACCUUUUUCGUCGUCGAAUGCUCUUCCUCUUACAGCAUGAUUCUCGGCCGAGAUUGGAUCCACAGAAGUUUUUGCAUGCUUUCCUCCAUGCACCAAGAACUCAUGAAUUGGGACACCAAGAAACGCGAAGCGGUCAUCAUCAAAGCCGACCCGCGGCCAUUUUCCAUUUCCGCCAACUUCAACGACGCCUGAUAUUAUACCACCGACAAGGGCCCGUUGGAUGUUCAAGCCGUCGAUGACAAAGGCCGCCCAUAUAGGGUAACGGCCUCCAAUUUAGCGCGAUGGGGACUUACCCAAGCGAAGGACGAUUUGCAAUGUCCCCACACCAUCGCUGAUUCCACACCCCGUUCUGAUGAAUAGUGCCUUCUCAGAGGAGGCACGCGAGGCUGGCGAGUCCUUGUGCGAAAGACUCCUUUCAUACUGGGCGGAACACGAAGCCUACGACAAGGUCGCGACUAUGGAAUAUGUCGACGAAGUAGUGGAUUAUAUCGAUACCAAGGAGGAAGUCAUUCAGUUAGCUCUCGCUGCCUUGGACGAUACACUACCUCAAGUCCACGACCCCAUUUCACAAGUUGACGUAGGGACUGCAGAAAAGCCCUUACUUAUUUCCAUUAGUGUUAAGCUGGCGGAGAACGAAAAGGAAGACCUUCUUGCCCUAUUACGCGAGUACAGGGAUUGGUUCGCCGAAAAGUACGAGGAUAUGCCUGGCUUGUCCCCGGAUUUGGUCUGCCACCGGUUGCCAACUUAUCUAGACCGACGUCCAGUACGGCAAGAUGGCCGAUUCAUGCGAACUAAGACUCAGAUCGUAGUCAAGGAAGAGAUCGAAAACAUGCACCGAUCGGGUAUCAUUCACGUGGUAAAGUAUAACGAGUGGCUAUCCAACGUUGUCCCCCUUCGCAAGAAAAAUGGCAAGAUGCGUGUCUGUGUUGAUUACCGCGACCUCAACAACGCAACGCCCAAGGAUAUAUACCCUAUGCCUGUAGCUGACCUCCUCAUUGACGCAGUCGCGAGGCAUGAAGUGCUGUCCUUCAUGGACGGAACAGUCGGAUACCACCAGAUUCCCGUCGCUGAAGAAGAUCGACACAAGACGGCUUUCCGUUGCCCCGGUUUUACCGGCGCGUUCGAGUAUGUUGUCAUGCAUUUCAGACUUAAAAACGCAGGGGCAACAUACCAGUGCGCCAUGAAUCUCAUCUUUCAUGACAUCUUGGGGAAGCUGAUUGAAGUCUAUAUCGAUGACGUGGUAGUUAAAACCAAGACACGCGCAACCCAUGUUGAGGACCUGCGACAGGUGUUUACACGGAUGCGCUUACACAACCUGAAGAUGAACCCCGCCAAGUGUGUAUUCUUCGCAGAAGCCGACGACUUCCUAGGUUUUCUCAUCCAUCAAAGGGGCAUCGAAAUCCCAAAGGACAAGGCGCAGGCGGUAAUAACCACCUCACCCCCCACCACCAAGAAGGAGCUUCAACAGUUGCUUGGGUGAAUUAACUUUCUCCGCCAUUUCAUAUCCAAGGCAGCAGGGAAGGUCCAGCCUUUUUCAUCCCUGCUCAAGCUCUAGGCGACAACCGAGUUCGUCUGGGAACCACAACAUCAACAGGCCUUCGAUUGAAUCAAGGACUACCUUACGAACCCACCAGUAUUGAUUCCACCUCGCGAAGGUACCCCGCUUAAACUCUACAUCGCCGCUGCCGACUUGUCCAUCGGCGGGCUCUUGGCACAAGACGAUGAAAACAGGGUAGAACACGCUGUCUAUUACCUCAGCAGGGUGUUAACUGACUACAAGACACGAUACUCACCUAUGGACAAGUUGUGUCUUGCUCUAUGUUUUGCAGGUUGCAAGCUGCGCCACUACAUGCUUGCCUUUACCACGGUGGUGAUCGCUCAAUCUGACCUGGUCAAAUACAUGCUCUCUCGCCCUAUCUUGCGGGGACGCAUCGGCAAGUGGAUAUUAGCCUUGUCCGAAUUCUCGUUGCAAUAUGUUCCGCAAAAGACAGUAAAAGGACAGGCCAUAGAAGACUUUCUCGCUCAUCACCCCCUUCAGAGCUCACGACGUUUCACGAGUUGGAGUUCGCUGCUGUGGCACUCGCUCCGUGGACCCUAUACUUUGAUUGGUCACGCACCGAUACCGCAGCCGGAGCCGGGAUAACCAUAGAAAAUCCCGUCGAGGAUCGCUUCUCCUACUCGUUCCAGCUUGAUUUCAACUGUACAAACAACCAGGCCGAAUACGAGGCGCUCAUCAUCAGAUUGGAAAUUUUGUUGGACUUAGGAGUCCGCGAAGUACAGGUCUUUGGCGAUUCCCUGUUGGUUGUCAACCAACUAGUGGAGAAUUUCAAGUGCUUAAGCUCGUCCAUUGAACCAUACCUGCGCAAGGCAUUCGACGUGUUGGAUCAAUUCAACGAUGUCUACAUCGAACACAUACCAUGCGAGUUCAACUUUGCCACCAACGAGCUUACCCAAGUAGCGUCCGGCCUUAGCCUGCGCAAUGGAGUGCGCGAACGUUUGCUCAAAGUUGACCGACGUACCCAUCCCUCUUUCAUCGCUAGGGAGCAAUUUCAGGCCAACACCCCCGAGGUCACGAUCUUAGACCCUAUUGACGAGGAUUGGCGGCUACCAUUUAUCGCCUACCUCCAGAAUCCCAAUGACGCCGCUCACUCUAGUCAGAUACGUUUCCUCGCCUUAAACUUUGUUUUAUGCAACGGCGAACUCCGUAGGCGUGGAGAAGACGGAAACGACUUCCGCUGCGUGUAUGGGAAUGACGCUAAGCGUCUCAUACGCGAAGUACAUUGUGGGGUUUGCGGUUUGCACCAGGCAGGACCAAAAAUGCGUUGGUUAAUCCGCAGCCAUGGGUACUACUGGCUGACCAUUUUAAAAGAUUGCAUUGCCUUUGCCAAGGGUUGCCAAGACUUCCAGGCUCACGGACCAGUGCAACACAUCCCCAACAUUUCGUUGCAACCUAUCAUUAAACCUUGGCCGGGUCGCGGAUGGGCGAUAGAUUUUGUUGGCAUUAUUCAUCCACAUUCUUCUGAGCAGCAUAAGUUCAUUAUCGUCGCCACCGACUUCUUUACCAAAUGGGUUGAGGCCGAACCACUCAAGUUGCCUUCGCCAACUCGGUUCGCAACUUCAUUUUCCGUAAUAUCAUUUCCCGCUUUGGUAUUCCGGAGUGCAUCGUUACAGACAGGGGGGCAGCUUUCGUGGCUGAUUCGGUCAUCAAAUACUUAAACGACUAUGACAUCAAGCUCCUCCACUCUACGCCAUAUUAUGCGCAGUCCAACGGCCAGGUUGAGGCCAGUAAUAAGGUCAUACUUGGCAUUCUCCGAAAGAUGCUGGAGUUGAACCCGCGCGUCUGGCAUAAGGAACUUUACCACACCUUGUGGGCUUACUGCACUUCAAAGCGCGGCCCGACGGACACUACCCCGUAUGCUCUUAUGUAUGGUCAUGAUGCCGUCCUUCCCAUCGAGAUCAAUAUUGCUUCGCUCCACGUACAGGAACAAUACCAACUACUUGGCGAAGAUUACGUCCAAGCUAUGUGGCAAGAACUUGAAGAUCAAAAUGAACACCGCGUCACCGCUUUCAACAAUCUCAUCCUCGAGAAAUAGCGCAUCACGUGGUCGUACGAUAAAGUCACCCGAGGUCGGAGCUAUGCCGAGGGCCAAAAAGUGUGGCGCGCUGUACUCCCACUUGGGAAAAAAACCGAGGGUCGGGGCAAGUGGUCUGCUCGAUGGGAAGUACCCUUCAUUAUUCAUCGUAUAUUCCCCAAGGGGGCAUAUCACUUGCGCGACCUAGACGGCACCAUUCAUUGCAAUCCUAUUAAUGGCCGUUUCCUCAAGCGUCACAUUGCUGGAGUUUGGGAACGCGAGAAUCCUCUACCUCCCCAAGAACCCGCAACCACGGUUAAUAGUGCUACACGCCAUCACAUCCUCGCUCGGCCACCUACUACUAGGGGGCCAGGCAACCCAGGAUAGGAGAUUGAAGACUACUUUGUAACGUACCAGCCUAAAAAGGUCAAUGCUAGAUUGGGGCCUAUUCUAGAGACCCUAAAAAAUAAGAUAGCUUUAUUUUUUCACAUGAGUUUAGUUAUCAUUCUCUUCAUUCAUUAUAAACAUGCAAAGUCUAACCAAAGACAACUACAAGAUUGGGGCCUAUUCCAGAAGCCCUAAAAAAUAAAUUCAUUUAUUUUUCCUUUCUAUCGUCUCUGAUACAGAUUUCAUAAGUGGCUUUGCGGCCGAAACAACUACAUUAACAAAACAAACGAAAUCUGACUACACCUAAGCUCAAAAGCAUAGAUCUGGAAAUAUGGUAAACCUCAAACCCGCAUAUCUUGCAGGGUCGAAGAAGAGGUCUCUGCCGCAUGUUUCGGUGAAGACUGACGAACGUCCUGCUUCCUCAGACCAGCACAAGCCUGGAAACCGGCCUGGACCUAAGACAAAUUGUUGAGAAGCUAGAGGUCCACUGGACCUGGGUCCCUCAUGUUACCAGUCACGCCUCGAAGGUGCUUCAAGGGCAUUGGCCAGGGCCUAAAGCGCGAGCGGGUGCGGAGCCUCGAAGACCUCACGUUUGGACAAAAUAGCUGGUGCAAGGCAGAAGGUACCCAGACCAUUUGUUUGUCCAAACAAAGGUUUGGCUUGAGAGAAGAUUUUCAGACUUACUCCCGGCUUGAGAGUAGAUUUUCAGACUUAAAAUGAACGAAGGGUCAAGUUGAGAAAUAGGGGUUUUGCUUUAAAAAAGGACAAUAGGAUGAGCAGAAGGGAAGAAGAAUCCAUGGCAAAGGGGCAAAAGACUUGGUUGAUGCUUCAACCCGGCCAAGAGGUUCUCUUUUAUAGGCAAGGGAGGCCGAUUUUUUCCUUUGACAAAUGUCCUGCAUGCAGCGAUGAGCUCCGGGAUAUGAGGCUUGGAGAUAAGGUCGGACGCGUUGUUCUAUGAUGACUGUUCGCGUUCCAAGCAAACAGUUACAUCAGAAAUCUCCACCAAAUCUCGGAAGAAGAUUUUUUCCUGAAAAAGCUGUUUUUAACAAGACUCGACAAGAGCGGGAAAGAAUUGAUUACAGUAAAUAGUAUAAUAUUAUUAUUGAUUAUAAAAGUUCAUACAGAAGGGGCAAAAUAAUAACUGGGUCUAAACCCGCCUAGAGGCCCUAUACAAAUCUAGGAGAAGGGUUUGUAAGGCCAACUCCUCAACAUCCGCUUAGGCCUGGGCUUCGUCCGCAGCAGCAGUGGCCGAGUCCAAAGCUUCAUGGGUCUCUUCCGCGACCUGCACGCGGGCUUCUACAUCUUCAGCUUGUGCAAGGUUCUAGCAAACUUGAGCAAGUUGAGUUUGCAGCUCCACUAUCUGAGUCUCCAAGGCCUCCACUUGCCGGGUAUAGAAAAUGCAUGGGUUCUCUGAAGAUGUCUCAGGAACAUUAACGUCUUCAAGCUUGGCCAAGAGGACUAACAUCUGUUGGUCUAAGGCAUGGCGAACUCUCUCCUGAGCAGCCGACUGAGCACCAACAUCCUGAACUCGGCGGGCCUGCAGCUCGACAACAUCAAUAAGCUCCGGGGCAUGAUCCAAGGCAAGUGUGUUCCUGGCUAAGUGGCGAGCCAGGGCUCCGUGAGCUUCACGUGCGCGCUGCACCAAGUCGAAAACAUUCAUAUGUGGGCCUUGGUGCAUCAGCCCAUGAAGGAAGCCCAGGGCUGAGCGAAUGGGUUCUGGAUCGGCAGGGGGGGUGACCCGGGCCCGGAGACGAGCGGUCUGGGUGGCCAAAGAAGAAGCCAACUCGACAGAUGGCCCCGCCUGGGCCGGAGUGGUUGGCUUAAUUUCUGCAGCUGAUUCAAUCUUUGAAACAGGCGGCGAGACGUCGGGUCCCAUUGGAACUGCUUGUUCAUUAGCUACGCGGGCUACCAGGUCCGGCUGCGGUGGGGGAGGCACGAUUAUCUCCUCUGGCGGGGCCACCUGUGAAGCAGUAAGGUCGAGAGGUGGAGCCAUUUGGCUUGAUUCUCCAUCCCGAACUGGAGCAGACACCAAAAGGAGGUUAGCAUCAUCCGGCGCGUUGUUUGGCGAAAGAGGCCGUGCUUUAAUUUCCUCGAGGACAGUAGUCUGUUCCUCAGCCACGGCCAUGAUGGGUUCCGGAAUAUGGACUUCCACCGUGCCAGUAUCUCCUUCGACAUUGUCAAGUCGGGGACGGACAUGGCGAUUCCGGACCUGUUGGGCAAAAUUAGUAAGCCUUUGCUAACUUAAGGAAAACAAUUCUAAGGAAAAGAUCGCUUACCAGGCCAUACUCUUCUUGGAAGCGUUGGUCUUCCAGUUCCUCUUCUUCAUCCUCGGCGGGGCGCUUCCGUGAGCUUUUGCCGCUUGUCGACUGGGUGGUUGGCAGGACAACCUCGUUGUCUGAGUCUGCCGCGGGCCCCUCUUGAGCAGGUGCUUUCCCUUUAUCUCCUGCAGCCUCGAGCCUCCUGGAAGAUCUUCAGCGAGGUGUAGCCUGUAAAAGGAAGAUAAGUGAAUUAAGAGGAAGUACUUAGUUGAGUGCAGUGAAAGCGGUAUGGAAAUCACAUAGUUAGCGGCCUACCUCGGGUGCGGGAUCGCGUUCUCGAAUGACGAUCCCGGUCGAGCGGCGAGCAGCAUGAACUGUCGAAAGCGUAGGCCUAGGCUCUGUCGCAGCCCUCUGAGGACCCUCUGCAUGGUCGCGCUGGGUAUCGAGGAUAGCGCGGUCCGAUUCGCCCAAAGUGUCGUACAGAGAGGAAAAGAUGGCGACGAAGACGACGUCAUCCAGAUACCUCCAAUGGUUGUCUGAAAGAGACCACCACCAGGAGAGAUAGGAUGGUCAACGCCCAGUGAAAGCUCAAUCUCGAGCAAGUCGGGAGUGAGAAGAGAAAUGUUCUGCAGCGGAGUGACUCGAUCUGUCUCGCCAAUCUUGCGCCAGGAUGUGUAUUUGUUCACUGAAUGGAAGAGUGGAUAGGGGACCCCUUGGAAGAAGCCAAGCUGCCUGGCGAAGUGGUUUGGGGCGUACAACUCGAAGCCUUAUUCAUCCUCGGCGAGCUGAAGGUCACAGCACGAGGUUGCCCUCAUGAAAGUUGUCUUAGUAUCCGUGUCCGAGUCGGAACAAAGGAAGAAGCCCGCUGACAAGACCUCAGGAUGGCGCCAGCGAACCAUCAUAUCUAUGGUGGGAGGCGGCUCGAGCUGGUUAUACAGGAUGGAGUGGCUGGCGAAGAAGGACAGAGGAGUCCGGUUCGCAGAGUUCCUACACACAGCAAACCCGAGCAGUUGGUCCUCGGAUAGGAAAUCAAGCUUGGUGCGCCGGAAGAGCGGGAAGUACAGCUGCAUCCACAAAUCUAAAACCCACAAUGGGCCAACAGAAAGAUGGAAGGGCCUUAGGGAGACUGUAUGGAGGGUCCGAUAGAGCGCACCCAGCACGGGCUGCCCUAGCCCUACUUCGAUCCCGUUGUAGAAUGCCUUAGCUAGUUUCGUCCAUUUCCCUGUAAACUUGUGAGCGCUACCACAGAACACGAAUUUAUCAAGCCAGUACUCAAGGAAAGCGAUACCUCCUUCGUGUUGUUCUGCAUGGCCGAUGUAGUAAUGCCUUCAUACUGCGUAAUGAGCCUUUCAGGGCACGACGAGCCCCCAGGUUGUAGGAAUGCGUGAACUCGGUCGAUGUAAAGUCGCCCGGCACGUAUGGCUUGGCAUGGAUUGGUAGCCCUGUGAUGGCGAGGAUGUCCAGCAAGGAGACACUCAUUUGCAUGAAGGGCUUCUGAAGGUGUUGGUGGCACUGUUCCACAGGCAGGCUGCGGCAGCGAUAGGUGCUCGGUCAGCGUGAGGGGGCAGUGAGAAACUCAAAGCAAUGGCUUCGCCGAUAGCGGCUGCUUCCCAGAUAGUUUGAUCGGUAUCUGCAUACCACGCUCGGUCCUCCGCGGUGGCGUUGGGCCAUUCUCCGACCCGGAUGUUUAUAUGAGAGCGGGCUUGCUGAAACCAGGAGACGAAAUUUCCCGGUUCACGGCGUUGGGCGAGGAUUGGCCGGCGCACGGAGCCGGCAUAGUGGUUUAGGUCGACGGCUGACAGAGGCUGUGAGGGCGUCGGGCCAAGCAAGGCUGCCCCCGUUUCAAGGAAGUAAAUAGGUGUUCCUUGAGGUAGGUUGUUGGCGAAACGGCGGGCGAGGUUGGUCGACCAGGAGCUCGCCGCCGUGAGGUUAAGGUUUGGGUCUCUAACAGCCGGUUUGGGAACCAUUUUUCUGGGUUGAGUGAGUGCGGCGGUGAGGUUUGUUGGUUGCAAAAGGAAGGAAAAGGAUUGGUUGGAAAGCGAUGGUGAGAUGUGGGGACCCGCGUCGAGGUUUAUAAAGGGGACGAAUUGUAACGUCUUUUCAAUCAGUAGUCGUAUUGAGGAGACGCGAUGAUAACCGAAACGUCAGCGCGUUUCGAAAUUUCAAUCAGUCGUAAUGAUGAAGGGAGGCGAUGACGUCGAAACGUCAGCACCUUUUAAAUUUCGAAUUCCCGUAAUAUACUCAUUAAGGCCUUUUCGCUUAUCCGUUGCGAAAUGGGCUAAGCUCAAGGCCUAGGGGGCAAUGUUUGACCAGCGGGGAUUUUAGUCCAAGACUCGUAAUAAGUUUUGGAUAGCAUUUGGGCCAGUGCCUGUGGCCUUUUUUAAAAAAUGAUGCCCAUGUAGGGUGGCGAGCACUAGAGGCGCGCGAGGUAGGAUUUGACAAGGACUGUGUUACCUCGCGAGGUCCUCGUUUCAGUUCGCGUAGGAGUCUACAGUGCUUGGUGGGGCGAGACAGUAUUAGAAGCCUAAGCGGAGUCUGUUAUGACACGUGUUACGUGGAUAGCGCAGUUCGCGAGUAAGGCGUGUCCCUCCGUUAUUCUAAAUUGUUGAGUCCGAAUGGGUUUGUGAUUGUAUCUCUAUUAGCUAAUCGCGGGAUGCUAUAUAAAAGAGCUCGAGGAUUAUUCAAGGGACACAAAAAAAUCAUACAAAAUUGCAAACAAAUCUUCGAGCAUCCUCGAAACCCUAAAGUUCUAAGUGCACCUCGCCUUAGUUCUCAGAGCCCAUUCGGACUCGCCCUUUCUUCUUGAUUAUUGCUCUGCUUGCUCUAACAGUAAGUAUCGAUUCACAGGUGAACAGAGGUUUGCUCGUAAUCCCUCGUCCGCGAGGUGGCACCGAAAACCCAUUCGCUUGAUUAGAAGUCCAGCACAGCACACUCAUUCCGCACCCGCGCGGUGGCACGCCCCGCAACCUUGUUUUUUACUUUUGUCGUCACCGGAGUUACAACUCUACUCCUGCUAAGACGCGUGGCCAAAACAAUUCCUUUAUGGCUACCUUGUAAUUUAUCAUUUGUCUUUAUUUUAGGGUCACGAACAAAAUCAAUGUAUGUUGACCUAAUUUUCGUUGAUUUCUUUGUGAGAUAUGUUUCUCAUUGUAGAAAAGAAACCACACAGUUACAAAGAGAGUAUGAGAACCUACAAAUCCAAAAACGCCAUGGCCAUUGGCAUGACACCCUCCGAAAUUGUGAAAAGCUAACAAAGCACUAAUUUGAAAGAAGUUGCAGUCCAAGAUCUCUACCUCCCGAGAUCAGGCUAAGUGGGGAAACUGUUACACUAGGAGUUGUUCGAACCUCAGAGAUUGUGGUUGGCAGCCACAUGCUCCAACCUGCGGAGCUAUUCCAGUUUUCGAUUUCUAGAAUUUUACAAUUUUCCAAUGUACUACGUAUAUCCUACAAGACAAAACAAAAUACCAGUUUUUUAUUUUCAGUUUCCACAUGGGGUGUAAUACUUCUCAAUACUAUACAGACUUUUUCUAUUUAUUUUUCUCUUUUCAUUUUCAUACAUAAACGUAACAUAACCUUUGUCUCCAAGUAAUACUUGCUCUCACUAUGGUAUUGUUGUGUCUGAGAAAUCUGUUAUGUGACUUGGGUGUCAAACUCAAAAGUACUAUGCAGCUGUACUGUGACAACAAGGCAGAAAUUGAUAUAUCACAGUAUCCAGUACAACAUGAUCGUACUAUGCCUGUGGAGGUUGAUCGACACUUUAUAAUAGAAAAGUUAGAUGCCAAAAUUCUUAGCUUUCCUUUUGUUUCUAAGAAGGAGCAGCUUGCAGAUAUUCUAUGACACACUAGGCAAGUUUGGCAUGGUUGAUGUAUAUGCACCAACUUGAGGCGAAGUGUAGUGUGAGUUAGAAUAGGUAUGUAAAUAUAUAGUAGUUAUAUUAUAGAUUUAUUUCUGUUAUAUCAUAGUUAGUAUUUACCAUUUGUAUUCCGUGUAAUCUCCUACAUAUACCUAGGGUUGGGCAUAAAGCUCGAAACAAAAAUAAAAACCGGCAAAACCGACCCAAAUCGGCCAGACCGGGCUUUUUUAUGGUACUAGUUCUAUUUUUUUUUGCUAGUCUGGUCUGGUCGAUCUGAUCCCAAUAACAGGCGGUCUGGUCUUGGUCCGAGAAAUAUAGAAAACAAUACAGCCCGACGUGCACAUUGUAAUACAACUAUUGGAUAAUUGUAGUGAUCAUACACUACUAAUAUAGGCUCAGCCACAUAUAAUCAAAAUCCUAAAGACUAAAUACCUAAUUCUAAAGAUUCGACCUCAUUCACGUAGAAUCUGGACUGCGCAUAUGUGCCUCUGCCUCUCUACAUCGUCGUCGUCGCCUCCACCUCUCUACGCGUCGUCAUCUCUGCCUCUCUACGUCGUCACCUCUGCCUCUCUAUGCCAUCGCCUCUGCCUCACCAUCUUUUGCGUCCAACCACAAUCACAAAGUCGCCCACAAUCACCAUCCUCACCAAGUAUGAUUUUUGAUCUUUCAUUCCCUCUCCGCGUUAGUUUUCCAAAACCCAUCUCUGCUUCGUGUAGUGUUUGUGAUCUUCUAUUUCUAAUGGUGCUUCAUGUUUUGUUAGUGUUUGAAAAAAUCUGGUUUGAUUUUGAUUAUCAAAGUCGCGAGGAAGGAGAUGGAGGUAUAUCGCCGUCGGAGAAGCUUUCGGUUUCUUUUUGGAGAGCCAAAUCGACUGGUUCACAUCGAGUCGCGCUUCAUUGAGAUAGUGACCCUUUCAGUUUGUUUUUGGAGAUCCACAUCGACUUACUUCACAUUGAAUCGCGCUUCAUCAAGAGCCAGACGCGAUGAACAAGAAAAGCCUGAAAAACCGGAAAGACCGGUGGGGUUUAUGCCGGUCCAGGCUUUUACCGGUCCCGAAAAUUUUAACGGCGGAGACCAGCCCGUCUGCACACCAGCCGGUCCGAGCUCGAAUUUCAAUAUCUGUGUGCCGGUCUAGGACCGUGCCCGGCCCUAUAUAUACCUCCGCAAUGAGAUGAAUAACAUGUUAGACAAUUCAUUCUCCCAAAUCUUGUUAUAUUUGAGCGUAAGACGACAAUUUUUAACCCCGUAUCAAUCAUCUCUCUCUUUUCUUUUCUUUUUUCUUUUUUGAUAAAAAUAAAAUUACAAAACAGAACCCCUAACUACAUCCUCUUGCGGCUGAUUCAAAUAGAACACUAUGCACACAACACAUCAAUAAUCUCAUGGUAUCAUUGAUAGUUAUAACCUCCACUACAUCAUGAUGGUUUCUAAUAAUCUAAAAACUACAUGACACCUUAUCAAAUAUAGGACAUGAACUAUCUAAAAAAACUCUCUCUAAAAACCCUAGCAGCACAACCCCUCCUCUCCGGCGUUCGUCUCCAUAUCCCAACAGCCGUAAUGGCCUUCCUAGAGGCCCUAGACGAUCCCAUCAGCUCUAGUCGAUCUCAACGACUCCAAGCGUACCCGCAGCGCGACCCAAUAGUGCUCUUCCGAUCUUCUGACGAUACGAUCUAGUGCUACUUUUCAUUGUUAUCAAUGCGACCUGCAUAUCCCAACAUCGACGUCUACCGGUGAAGUCAUCGAUCACAACAUUGCUAUCCCUAAUUGAUUGAAGUUUUCUCGUCAUAUUCCUUCGUCGGUGAUGUCCUAUUGGGGUGGCAGACCUCGUGACGAGGUGAUGCUAAAAAGAGAAAAGAUGGGUCUCUUGGACUUGGUCACUCUGCCUCAUUUGACAACCCUGAGGCUUGUGAGGGGAGAGGCUAGCCCUCAUAAUAAGGGCAUGGAGGUAGGUUAGUUCUUGUUUCCUAACCAAGGCAUUUGAUGGAAAAUUAUCUCGAUUUUAUUUCCUGGUUAUAUGUAGUUGUACACCAAUCGAGAUCUUAAGCAACUAGUACAUCCUUCAUAGAAGAAUUAGAUUGUGGUAGUUGAAAAUUAUUUGUAGUAAGUUCGAUUUGUGCUUAUUUGCAGUGGGGACUACCUAUCUUUUGUAAGGCUUGUUACCCAUGAGCUUAUCGGGACAAGCGACAACUGAUGUAUGAGCCUUUUGGCCGAAAAUAAUCAAUGACACUGUCCAUCUUUAACUCAAAUAAAUAAAAAUGGUUUCUAAUAAUCAGAAUGUCAUAGCUCUUGAAGCUAUUGAAGGAUAACUUAUCCAUUUAACGGGAUGACCAAAAGCUUUCACUAAAACAAAUUGAAAUUAAAAAAGGUGUGUUAGAGGUUGAGUGGAGAAUUACUACCUGCCCGCAUCUGAUGGGAUUCUGCACGAACUUUGCUUCUUAUAGGUUAAGAACAUUUUCAUGGUAUUGCUUCUUAUAGCCUUUCGGUUACUUUCUACCACUAACUUUGUCAUGCAUUUGGUUAUAUAAUAUUCAUCUUUCCUACUUUCCACAUAUAUCCAAUAUAUUUGCUAAAUUGCUAUCAUAUAUCUAUUUUAACUAUUUAUCUUGUCUGUGUCAAUUGGUUACUGAUGGAAUAAAUCUUUCCCAUUCAGUUUUUGGCUAUCUAUGGUAUUAAAGAGUAAAAGUAAAAGUCUCAAAAGCUCUGUAUCACUGUAUGAGUUUCUUUAUGUAAACCUUAAUAGAUCUAGGAUUGACAUCGAGUCUUGGUUUUCCAAUGAGCACCAAUACUAGCAUUGAUACUGUCUUCAAACUCGACAUGAACCCGCCAACCCGGUGGAAACUUUUAGGAGUUGCUACCUGAAGCAUAGACUCAAAUCUAUGACAUGAACUUUUGCCAAAAUUUCUAGCUGAAGAAAAAAUGGGUUUGCUGAAAUGGCUAAUUUGAUGCAGUUAUAAAAUGAACCCCACCUCUCCACCAAUAUCUUCACUUUCUGAUCCUCCAUUAAACCAACUAAUAAGAUUUGGGAGGAGGAAUUUUAAUCAUUCUAUUGGUAAAAAGUGUAAAACCGUACAAGCAUUCGGCCCCGAGUCAAUCCAAAAUCUCAAACAGGGCAAGAAUGAAGAGAGGUGUCGCUUAAAUAGGAAUGAGUUCCCUUUAUUGUUCAAACUUGCCAACUUUAGAACCAGGAUUGGAGCAGAAUGCUUCAACUUAAGGAUCUACAAGGCUUCAAGUUUUUCUGGGUACGUAUGAAUCUCCAACAAUAUAUUGGAAAUCCUACUAUUUAAUCGCCAGUCUAUAAUUAUGCCAUGGCAUGUCAUCUGCGAAACUGAACUUGCCGAAAUCACAACUAUAAACUCCGUAUCGGUCUGCCAUCAAUUACCAAUCCAAUUGACUUCAAAACAGACACAAAAGUACACAUUGUUACUAUCUUCGAAACAGUAAGUUGAGAAGCGAGCAUAGCAUAUAUAGGAUAGUACAAUGGAACUAUACCUAGUUUAUACCCAAAUGUGACAUUUAUUCUCCACACAUUUCUUCCUGGCAUGUAUACCCUAAACACUUGACUACAUUCCAAUGACAGAGAAUAACCUCCAAACUUGCAAAAAAAGACUAGAAAUAAACCUUAAACAAUACUCCACAACUUGACAACCUUAAGACAACCUUAAGGCAGCAAGAAUCAUUCCACUGACCUCUUCAGGAUCAGCAAAAACAGGCACAAGAAGGACCCUUCUAGACCAUAACAUCCAAAAUACCAAGUAAAAAUUCACCACAUGACAAAGACUUCGCAGACAUGCAUUCAUGAAUCCAUAUCCCGGGAAUGUCAUCCUUAAGCAUAUUUUGGCAAGUGCUAAAGAUUGUAAAUAGAAGAGUGAAAACACCAAAUUGGGUGGCAUGUUGAUUUCAUUGUACUAUACGGUCUCUGCCAUUGGAGACUCGGCUGAUAAGCCACUAUAAUGUGAAUACAAGUCACUAUAGGAGUUGAGUGGAGAGGCAUAUUGACUACAAUGCUAUACACAAUAUAUAUAUAUGCACCCCGUAAACAGCAGUUAAUGUUAGUGGUGGUCCAUAAUGCCUUAAUAGAUGGGUUGUGGUGAUAAUGAUACAAUUAUACACCGGCCGGGUAAAAACUCAUUAAGGUCAACAAAGUGGCUUGUGUGGAUGAUGACAACAGUGGAGACUGAAGUGCCCCUUUGCAUGUAUGAACCAUUAUAGAAGAAACGGAGAAAUGAAAAAGGUGACUUGAACGAUUAUAGAAGAAAGAGAAAUCAAAAAGGUGAUUUGGGUGCUGAGGCCGGCUCAAUAAGUGAACUUGGAAGCAAAUUUUGAUUAGUUUUACAAGUGAAAUGCGUACCAAUAACAUAUCCUCAUGCAAUAUGAAAAUAUAUACCAGCCUAGUGCUUGGAGGACUGAUCCUACCACUUAGCUGAAUGAUGAGUGAAGAAGAGACGAAAACAAAAAAAAAAAAAAGGGAAAAAGUUCAUUUCAAUCUGCUAAAUCAUGUUUUCAUAUAUACUAAUUGAGGGCUCAUUUUCCUGAUGAGUAAACCCCCUACAGUUUUGCUUCUUUACAAUAGCAUGGUGAAUGGAAAUUCUUAGACCACAACGGUUAACCAAAAUUGGACUACAAAAAAAAAAAAUUAAAUGACUACACAUUCUACGAUCAAAAUGGUAAACAAACCUGGACUACAUGGUACAUAUAUCCUUGGCAUCUACUUCCAAACAAAAAACAAAAACAAAAAAAAAAAUUUGAGAACACACUUUUAGAAGGUUAGACACUGGUUUCGACCAACGAGCAUAGAAGAUCAGAAUAGAAGUUGGAACAGAUCAUUCUUCACCUCAUGUUAUAUCCGAUAGCACAAGUAUAAGCCAAUUCAAAAGUAUACUCAUACAACAAUUUAAUUACUCGAGUGCAUAUGUAUCCAGAUAACCAAUCUCAGCAAAGGUAACGAAUUUAGAGCACAAGUAUAGUUCUUCUGUAUUAGAGCAUAGUCAAUACACAUUCUCCCACCGACAUUGUAAACUGGAUCGGAUUAUAACAAACCCAUGAUUGGCAUUUGUUCAUAGAAAACCUCUACAAUCCAAUACCAGGACUACCUUGAAUUAGUAUAUGAACCAUUUCCAUGUAACAACAAACUCAAAACGCAGCCAAUAUGUACAUAUUUGACAUAAGUAAACCCAAAUUCAAUUCAAGGAAGAUUGUCUUAGCAAAGAAUCAAACCGUGGAUCUCUGAAUAUACUCGAAAUGCUUCUAUUCCCGCCAUCAAUCACCUUCAACAGCGCCACCCCUUUGCUCUUCCCUUUCGGACCUCCAUUCUCCGCCACGUCAGCAAUCCCAUCCACCACCCCCAAUCCCUCCUCCCUCACCUCCACCACCGCCCUCUCGCCGCCGCACCGAGUCAAAUUGAGCAGCGCCGACACUGCAUUCUCCCUGCUCCUCAAGCUCGACCCGGUCGAGAAAUCCAGAAGGUCGGCCAGAACCCUAACUCCGGCGACCCUCCGAAACGCGUCCGCGCUCUCCUCGCACCCAGCCACCUGCGCAAUCACCGCCGUCGCGUCCUCCACGAUCCCGAGGCGGCCGUCGUUCACCACCAGAGUAAAAAGCGCGGGAACCGCCCCGAGCUCCACCAGCGAGGCCCGAUUCGAGGGGCAGAGAGCGAUUCCGAACAGAGCUUUGAGCGCGUCCUUGACCGACCUCGGAGGCGACUUAGGGCUUUUGACGAUGUCGAUCAGCGAGUAGACAAUGUCGCGCUUGGCGCCGAUGAUUGGCCGGUAGUCCUCCACGACGAGGAGGCUGUGGAGAGUAGCGGCGGAGGACUGGACGGCGGUGGCGGAGGAGGUCGGGGAGCUGUGGUGGCGAAGCGCGUGGGAGAUCGCGUCGAGGAGGCCGCGCGUGGAAAUGAGGCUGUGGCGGCAGGAGAUGGAGAUGUUGAGGAGAGUAGCGGCGGCGUCGUCUUGGAAGUCAGGGGAGGAGCCGAAGAGAGUCUCGGCCAGGUAAGGAAUAGCGCCGGCGUCGGCGACGAGGGGGCGGCUGUCGGCGUCGUGCUUGGUGAUGAGUCGGAGCUCUUUCAGGGCUUCGGAUCGGGUCUGUUCGGAGACGGAGCUGAGCUUGGAGACUAAAGAACGAGCCGUUCGGAGCUUCACAUCCAUUAGUGAGAUCGUGUGUGUCUGAUUGUGCUUGGAUUUGUGGGUAUUUUGGAGUUUUGGGUUUGGGAGAAUUGGUGUGCUUUGAAAUGGGUAAUGUGGAUUUUGGGAUGAGAAGAGUUGAAUUUGGAGCAUUUCACACGACAUUUAAGAAAGAAAGGUCAAGGUGGUUUAGUUUGACAAGGAAGGGGUAGCUGCAAAGUCAGAAAAGACUCGAAGAGUAUCACCAACUUCUAUUUUAAUCCAAAAAAAAAUUGAAGAUGAUGAUCGUUGGUUUUUGUCCAAAAUCCUUCUCGGGAAAUAUGGAAGAAAAGAGGCGAGAUAGAGAAGACGACCGGCAAAUUGAUGGGAAAAAUUGUUGGAUUUCGUCAAAUGUGAACAGUCUUAUUAUGAACCGUUUGAGUAUCUCUUUUUUUUUUUUGUGGGACGAAAGAACCUUCAUUGAAAAGCCAAAAGGCAGAAGCAACAAGCCAUCAGAAACAGGCCCAACAGACAGACCUUCAUAGUCACAAAGCCCAAAGAGAAGGGAGACUAGAUAAGCCCAAACUAGGAAAACACAGCAGAAAAAACUGAAAGAAAAAAACCCAGAAAACGCUCAAAGCUCUAUUCGGAAUCGCUCUAAGUAUCUCUCACCAUAAGAUAAACGGUGCGUAUAUUUUCACCCCACAAAUCAUUUUACUUAUUUUAUAUUUUCUUCACAUCAUAGUUAUAUAUUAUUAAUUUUAAAUAUAAAUUUAAGGUUAAUUUCCACUAGCCCUAAUUUUGAGAAUUUUAUUCUCACAAACAAAAUCAAAUUUAUAAAUUUUCAAGAGUCAACUUAAACAACAAAAAGACAUUUAUACCUUUAAUAAAUUAAAAAAACUACAAUAUACCAUUAUUAUGGUCUAUUAUGAAAUAAAGAUUCUAUGACCGGAUUCCAACGACCGAUGAUUGAACUCCGGCGACUGGGUGUCUAUUUGGGGCAGUAAGGGGUUCGUCAGGGGUCUAUUGUGGACAGUAGGAGGUCAUGUUAGGGGUAUAUUAGAGGUAUGUCGGGAUCUAUUAGGGGUAGUAUGAGGGUCUAUUAGGGGUAGUAGGGGGUCUGUCAGGGGUUAUAUUGAGGGCAGUAUGGGGUCUAUUGAGGACAAUAGGAGGAUCUAUUGUGGGCACUAAAGGGUCUGUCGGAAGGUAUAUUGGGGGCAAUAGGGGGUCUAUUGGGGGGUAAUAUGAGGGUCUUUCGGGCGUCUAUUGAUGACAAUAGGAGGUCUAUUAGGGUUAGUAAGGGGUUUAUUAGGAACAAUAAUAGGGAGUCUAUCGGAGAUAGUAAAGGUCUAUUAGGGAUAGUAAAAGAUCUAUUGCGGGCAGUAAGGGAAGUGGAACAAAUAUUUAUUCCUAAAUCCAUCAGUUAUUCCCUACCUCAAAAGGCUAUUCCAAGAAUGAUACAGGUGAAUUAUCAAAAGAAGCUAUAUAAUUUGAUAACAAAUAAGCCUUUACUUUUAACAGAGGGUAUAUAGAAACCCUACACAUAUACAAUUUUAAAUGUCAAACCCAACAUCAAUUUCCUUCACCUAUACUAAAUAAACACCACCUAUACUAAAUACACACCACGUAUAAUCUGCUCCACCUACAUCCAAAUUGAAAAAAGAUAAAUGCAAACAACAAUCCAAAAAAAAACAAUAGAUGAGAUUGAGCAGAAGCUUGCCACUGGUUGAUCUUGCUUCUUGAGCUAGACUCUUAACUGAUGCAUCAAGUGAACUUCUAUCUUUAACUCUUUGUUGGAAUGUUUUCUUGAUGGAAUGGUUCAUUUUUGUGCCCUUGACUAUGUUAUCCCGUUCCAUAAUUUGAGUGACUUUACUUCAAGUAACCUUACAUAUUUGUUUACUUGAAACUCUGAAUCAAGUACAUACAUUUACUUAUAUAUCACGUUCAACGAUCCUAAUCAACAAGACCUCGUUAUCUUGAUGGAACUCAUGGAAGCUAAUGAGUUAGUCUUGAAUUAAACUGAAUACGUCUUUCUAAACUGGAACCUGUUCUCUUUUAACUUCUGCUCAUCGGAAUAGCCUGUCUAUUUGGUAGUUGGCUGGACUGACUGGAAUGAAAAUUGACUCAUCUAUAGUGAAGUCAAGCACAUAUUCUUGUAAGUACAUACAAUUUCAAAUGCAUUUGUUCUUGUGAUGUUAUUGCUCCAUAAGUUGAGUCCACAUGCUUAUCUAUUGAAGACUGUAGUUUAAGAUAAUAAGAUAUCAAAACCGAUACUAUGGUGUUCUCCCUGUUCUUAAUUAAUAAGAUUGAAGCAAAUAAGAGAAACUGUUAGCAACAGAACCGAGCCAUGAAAUAACAGAACAAUGUGUGAAAGCAUACACAUGGAUACCACUACAACCCUCAACCGAAGACGAUGUAGACCCAUACGACUCAAAAACCCAAUCGAAUACCCUUUGAAAUCGAACACAAAACUCAAUCUAUCUGUGACCUUGUGGUAGAAGUCGGCGGACUUGAUCACUGGGGAAGGAACACCGGAAUGGUCACCGGCAACGAAGAGUAAGGCAACGCCGAUGACGAAAUCAGAGAUCCAGUCGAUGUCAAGCCGGAGGUCGUCAGCGAUGGGAGACAUAGUCGAGGUUGAGCCGGUGUCGUCGGAGAUGAGAGAGAGAGAGAGAGAGAGAGAGAGAGAGAGGAGGAGAAGAGAGAGAGAGAGAGGGGAGAGAAAUCUGAAGAAGACGGAGAGGGGAGUUUUGAGAUUGGAAAAUGAGGGUAUUAUGGUUGGAAAAUGUACCUAGCAAAUUGCUAAGUAGACCCAACAUUCAGUUUAUAUUAAUUAUUUUCCAAGAUUACCCUCGUAUAUCAGCACACCCAGCACUCUAACUGCGCGCCCAGCACCCAUCACUCUUCUCAUAGAACACAAACUCAAAAGUCAAACCCAAGUUCACAACUCAUUUGCUUCUGAUGCUCCAAGCUUGUGUGGCUUGCAAAGCUAAUCAAAGGGGUCCCAAGCCAUAUGUUCAGUGCCUUCAUCAACAUUUUACCAAGUUUACAUCUCAAAUUGUGAAAGAGAGCAUGAAUAAAAAAUGUCAGCAAUAAAUUAAUCAAACUCUCAUUCUUCAACAUCUUCAAUCUCAUUUGUAAUUCUUUCUUCAACAUGAUUUGGUGUUCCCUCUUCCAACGUCAUCUGCAGAAACCUCUUUAACCUCAUUCAUUUGCAGGUCCCUCUCCCAUAUCAUUCGAUUCAUUCCCAAGGUCCUUCUUCCAUUUCAUUGCAUGGUCCCUUUCCUGUCAAUAUCAAUCUCAGGUCCCUCUUUAUCUAAAUCUAAACAGCCUUUGGCCAUUUAUAAAAUUGGGUAUGAGAGGUACACACUAUAGAGUCGGAGCGGAAGAACAGACUUGCCGGGUGUGUAUAUUAGGGGUAUUUCUGGAAAGUAGAGGAUAAUUUAUAAAUGCCGGGUCUAUUUAGUAAUUUGCUGGGUACAUUUAGCAGCACCCUUUUGUUAUAAGGAAAAAAAUCUUCAGAUUUAGGGCCAAUGAACAUUUUUUAUUAAAUUUACUUUGUUCACCCAUUUUACAUUGCGUAAAAUACAUUUUUCUCAAUUCGAUCUACUUUGUGUUGGAAAAUUCAAACCAAUCACACUAAUGACAAUAAUAAAAAUAAUCUGAAAGGUUUCUUGAGUUGGUGACUCUUGAUUUACACAAAGAAGGUGGAUAUUUUGGAGUCAUGGUGAAGGCACUGAACCAUGCAUCACAAGUUAAGAAGAUUCAUGAAGCAUCAUUUAUUCGAAGAACAUUAAUGAGUGAUCUAGAGAGUUUCUCUUUAGCCUAUAUAAGGAGAGGUGUCAAAUCCGAAGUAAACCAUGCGGGGUCCACCUCAACGGAAAUUUUAUCAAAAAAUUAGUAUAACCUUUUUUGAAAAUUGAUAACCUAACCUGCCAACCAACAAGAACACCUAUAUAAUCGAAAUAAUCUAACCCCAACAUUUGAAGCCACCCUACUCCUAAUUUCACAUCAACACUUAAAAUGCAACACAUCUAAACUAAUUUAAAACAAUCCCAAAGGACUAUCAGAGCAAUUCUACUAAGGAAAUGAAAACAUAGAUAAGAGAACUAGAGAAAGCUGUGUUAUUGACUAUGCCUCAACUCCGUGUACGCCCGACCUCUUCUAAGCUAACCUGUAAUCUGAACAUUUGAAACCGAAGGGCCUAGAGGAAAGUAUUUGAAAAACGUUAACGUGAGUGGACGAAAAAUAAAUAGGUAAAUGAACGUAAAUUAUGAAACCAAAACUUAAGUACUUUCCCACUUUCUGAUAAGCAAGAAAUCCAAUGCAUGCAAGUGUUAAUGAAACCUUCAUUGAGAAACGUCUACAGAAAACAGACUAGUCCCACUAGUCAAAACAACAACAAAUAUUCGUAAAGACCUUCGUAAAAUGAAAUAUCAAAAGAUGGACUAGCCCUGCUAGUCAAUAUAAUAACAAUAAAAUAAAAAAUAGAUACAGCCAUACAAGUGAGCCUCCCAGGAAAAAGUACUCCCAUACUCCCUACAGCUUCACGUAAUGAUAAUGGAGAGGGUGCAGAGCUUGCAUGAUGCCGCCGGCAACAUCACAUCACCACUAAGGCGGAAAGGGUUUGCGUGACUCCACUCGGAACGUGGGAGCCACAUCGUCUCGAAAGGCGGAACAACAUGCUAGCAUGAAUAAUAACGAUCCAACAACUGUGGCAUAAAAAAGGAAAAUUUAAAUCUAUGUGAGUUUUCCCGAAACUCAUAACUAAAACAUAAGUACGAUUCUCAACCGUACUCGGAAAAUUCCAAGAGAAAAGAAAUAAAUUAAAUUUGAUAACGUGUUCCACAUGCUAAAAUGCUCAAUGAAAUAACUAACUCAAAUAAUUCAAAAACUAGAGAAAACUCAAAUCCUUAAUGUAAUCUCAAAUCUGAAAAUCAUAAAGAAUUAUAUAACUGAAAUACCAAAUCACUUACCCAAGCUCAAAUCCAUAAAUCAUGACAAAGAUUAAUCCAUGCAUCAAACUCAAAUAAAUUCCAAGAUCAUUUUGUAAGCCAAAAUUAUAAUAUAAGCUCGGAAAAUAGAACGAUACUUUCAAAAAGAAAACAUGCAUGCAUAUCCAUUUAAAAACAAAGUGUCCACUCACAAAUUAGGGCCUAAGCCCAAUAAUAUCUGAAACGCUACUCGUGUGAGGUCUCCAAGUAUCCUAAUACCAUAAGCAUAUUUAGAACCACACUCCAAUUUCAGAAAAAUAAUUGCUUUAGUAUAACAACCCGAAAAUCUUUCGUCUAACCUAUUAUCCUAGCUAGGGUUAAGCUUAACGGAUUCAAGCCAAACUUCACCCAUAACUUCAUUUCAUUGAUUUAAAAUUCUAAAACAAAAAUAAAGGAAAUCCAACGGUAGGAUCUUCAAGAGUAACACACUGACAAAACCAAACUUCAAAAAUUCCCAAACUUCAACCAACUUCAACCCAAAAUUCACAAACUUAACAUCAAUGGACUCCUCUCAUCAUGCUCGACCUAAUCAGCUAGAAAAACAACCCAAGAGAGGUGGCGCCACCGUCUGCUCCGCGGGCAGCGGCGACCGGCCACGACCAAACUCCGACCACCUUUAAUGCCUACCAAAUUUUGACACAAUCUUCCUCUCAAUACACCCAACAACUUUCAUAACUAGGCCGAAGAUCAAUCUUAAGUCUAAACAUGUAAAUCGAACCAAAAACAGAAAAUCUCAAUUUCAAAACCCUAGAAUUUCAAACCUAUGAUUCUCCUUACCUAGCUCGAAGUGGAUCGAACCCUUUUGAGGGUUUACUAUCCGGGAUGAGACCUUCCAAAUGGGAUAAGAAGCUCCAGCUAUGGUGGCCGGAGGAGAGAUUUCCGGCGAAAGGAGAGACACGGCAUCUUGAUGGAAUUUCUCCAACACGACGGCGAGGGACGCCUAGCAACCUACCCAGAUCGGUUGUGGAGGAGGAGAGCUUUCUUUUGACACCAGGUUUGUAGCCUAAGCCCCCCAAAUGGCGACGGUUGAAGGUGGAGAAAGCGCCGGGUUGGGAACCGCACGUUGGAGAAGAGAGGAGUGAAAGUGAAAUUUCUGAUUUUCACUUUUGACUUUCCACCUUUGGCCCCUUUUAUACCUACGUUCCCGAAAUAGUAACUUUGGUUUUUAGACAAUAACUUCUUCAUACGAACUCCGUUUUCAGCGUGCCACAUGUCCACAAAGUCCGUUUUACAUCCUCUAUGACUUUCAUGAAGCAAGAUUUCUUAAAUUUAGAACGAAAGAAAAAGUCAACUUUUAGAGCUAUUAAAAUCUUGAAAACAAGGGUUAAAGUAAAAAUGAUGCUCAUUUACUUUCUAAGUGACGGUGAAUGGUCAACUAAGGUCCGGGGCGUAACGAUCUCCCCGCCUAUAAGAAUUUCGUCCUCGAAAUUUCAAACUGUGUUAGUAAGGAUAGAAUGUACACAUCUACAUGAUAUUCGGGAGUAACUAACACACUGACUUGACAAAGAGGUGACAGGUCAUACAAAAGCGUGUCAACUGAAAACAUACUUGAUACUCGCAUGAGGUUGCUCGAAAACUAAAGAGCAUGUAAGCAAAAAGCAAUGAACUAACACUUGCAAAAGAUUGAGUAACCACCCAUUGGUUACAUGAAGGAAUACUCCUCGGUAACGCAAUAAAGAAGUUUACUCUCAAAUCAAGAAAUAACAUUAAUCACAAGUGAGACCACAAGCUAAGAAAAUUCGUUCCUGCCUCAACAAAGUUCAACACAGAAAUGCAUCAACCGAAAAUCUUUGUCCUCAAACUUUUCUACCAUAAAAGUGAAAGUGAGGUCGCCGACAAUACCAAAAGACUGGAUCGGUAACAAUAUUCAAUUAGAAUCAGGGUCUCCAAAAUGUGAUUGAUUUCCGCCACCUUAACUAAAAAAACCCCGCUCAGCCUAAACAAUUAGUCCACCAACAACCAACAUUAAUAAAAGUUCACAACGAUGACCGAAUUUCUUUUAGUUCGAAACAACUUCACAACCACACCUACACCUGACGAUCACUCAGCAAUAGUUUAGCCUCAAAUCUCAAAAUAAAACUACGUAGCGAUUAAUAAUUAUUAUGUCUACAAAUAGUGUUCAAACACUUAGGUCCCACCACACGAACAAUGACACUAUCAUGCCAUGCGAGCAAAAAUUUGCAACAUCCCGAGAUACAAGUUCACUCCCGGUUUUGCUAUCACCAAUAAUCUCUCCAACACUAGUAAAUGACCGAGAGCAUGACUAUAUUGUGAAAACAAGAUACUCUUUCUUCUUGCAAGUCGUACUCCAAACAGAACUGAUUAAUAUCCAUAUGAUAAUGCUUUAAGCCUUCCUUCAAUAAUCAAAGUUGAAGCAAUCUUAUCAAUAACAUUGAGGCAAUGAAUGUUAGAACAUUCACAUAAUCGUGCUAGACUCACUGUCAAAAUCCUCAAAAGUAGAUUACCUCCUUGAACUAGGGAGGCAGUGGCAAAAAUUUGUACCCCGGGCACACUUCUUGACACGACCCACCCCGAAUUUCACCCUGAAACCCGGAGUAAGUCGUGCGGGGACCACCUCUAAGGAAAAUUUACUAAAAAGAUUGAUAAAAUCUCCCUUGAAAAUGGACAACCCUGACUCGAAAAUUCCAAAUUACACUCUUAAAACAACACGUCCAAACAUCACAUAAUUAACCUUCAGAAAUUUUAAACAUAAAAUACAAUAAUCCCAAAGUAUUCAGAGCUACUAGACACUAACGGAAGCAAGAAAACACAAGUAGGUUAAACAUGUAACCUAUUAAUGAAAACUGGCGGAAAUGCGGGUGACUAUGCCUCGCCUCCUACUAGAUCCAACCCGAACUCUGCAGACUGAGCAAUUUAAAACGAAGGGCCUAGGGAAAACAUUUAAAAACGUUAGAGUAAGUGGACAAAAACAAAAUAAUAAAUAAAAUAUUUAUGUUUCCCCAAAUUAAUUUCUAAGGAAAAAUCGAAUGCAUGCCGCAAGCGAUAAAACUUUUAUCUCAUAAAAUAUCGAGUCUCUCAGACUCUAUAAUAUAUGUAUGUAUUUACACUCGUCCAUACUCCCUAUAUAAAUUCAUGGGUCUAUAUAGGGCUACUACGCUCGCGUCCAACGCUCACGUCACGCCUUAAUGCAGUGCUACACUACGCCAUUAAGGUGGACAGACGGGUGUAUAAAUAUGUGUCCAUACCCCCUAUAUGAAUUAAACACUCAUAUAGGGCUUCUACGCUCACGUCCAACGCUCACGUCACACCAUAAUGCGGCUAUAUGCUACGCCAUUAAGGUGGACAGACACAUAUGGCUAGCUAGCAUUUUAUAUACAUACUCUCUCAUAAAUACAUAUUUAUAUCCACCGAAAAUCCCAUUUUCGGUAACUCUCCAAGAGAAAUAAAAUUCGUCAAAUUAAAAUGAUGUCAAAAUAUUCCGCAACAAUUAUUGUUCAACCAUGAACUCUAGCAUGCAUUUUAUUUAAAACAAAAGUCCACUCACUAAUUAGGCCUAAGCCUGAUGUCGAUCUGGGGCCUCGUCUGCUCGAGCCAAGGAUCGUCAGUUUUGGUGGCCGGAGGAGGGAGCUCCGGCGAGAAGACAAACGGCGUCCAAUGAGGAUUUCCUCCGAUCGGCGGGGCUGCAGCGCCGCUCACCAGCCCAGGAAGGCGGCGGGGAGGACGACAGACCGUGCUGGAGUGGUGCGGCGUCCCUGCUUGGCCGGACGACAGCGGCGAGCGGAGGUUUCCGGCGGAAGAAGAGAGAGAGCUCGGGAGUGGAAACCGGGAGGGAGAGAGAGAGGGAAAAAGAAAAGUGAGGGCUGGGUUUGGGCCUGUCCAACCCGGUCCAUCACCUAUAUACUACCCAAUUCUAAAAAUAAAACACCCCGAAAAAAAUAAUACCCGAAUAAAAAAAAUUACCUUUUACUAGCUAAAAUUUACCAUUUUUACCGCCAUCGUAUUUUCUCUCACGAAUAAUCCUCCGCACACAAUCGUCCCCGAAACCCCUCUAGGGACCAAUUAAACUAUUAACUGAAUGACGGAGAUGGUAAAAUUUUUAUUAUAAUCAAGCUAGUAAAUAAGGUAAAAAUAUAAGGGUCGGGAUGUGACACUUCUUAACCGGGUUUAGCCACAACAACCAUUCCAGUGGUUACAAUCACACGAGUCCCUCCAGCCAUCCCACGAGAAAAGUUUUUCAUGUCAAAAUGUCUGAGCUGCACGAACACACUUCUCUUUCUACCUCUAUUAAUUAUUAAUCUGACAACAUAAUACGAUCCGAAAAUCAUUUAUGGUCAAACUCUUGCCCACGCUUGGCGCUACGGCUCUAAAGCCCAAAAGUUUAUGACCAAUGAAUCGACAACUACGAUAAUACACCUGAGUUAACUACAUUGGUCGUCAAAAGUGGUGGCAUCCGUAAACAAGAUUUAAUGUUUACCACUACCGCACUGAGCGUGCGAAGAACACCAAAUUACCUAUUGGACGUCAACAUUAGUUUCCAUCUAAGAGCUACCACCACAAUCCAAGAUUUGCCAACACUACCGCAACCUAUGGUCAAGUAUAAGUCAAAACUCACAGCUAAUCUCGUCUCAAGCUUGAGAGGAAAUAACCGGAGUGCAUGAAGGAAGCAAAUCCACAACUUCAAGCUCAAAAGUUCUACAUAUCUCUGACAUUCAUUAAGGGCCCAUUUUGUAAACGUAUGUGAAACCAAAUGUCAAUAGAAUGGUUUCAACCAAUCACCCUAACACCAACGAAUGAACACGCAUCCAAAUAACGAUGACCUCCCAUAUCACACCUAGAUCAGUAAGUGGUCUCAACACGAUACGAUCUCCAUGCAAAAACUCCUUACAGUAGAGACGUCGUUCAAUGUAUUAGGUUAUAUACUAUCUAACAUGAACUUUGAACAGUCCUUCACUCUGAAGGGACCUUGACUCGAAACACUUCAUAAGUCAAUAGGGAAACCCUUUCCCCUAAGGCUACACCACAAAUCAAACACCACGUCACAUGUACAAUUUAUUCAACAUAUCCACGCGACUCAUAUACUACUAAACAGAACUUGCGGUUGAAUGGUUCGUCGCUUAAUGGGACUCCGAUUCAUUUAGUGUCACCACUCGAAUUAUCUAUGAUCCCUGAUUAUGACACAAUAACCAAUUUUUCAUUCUCCUCGAAAAUUUGACGAACUAAACUGAAUCUCUAAUCUUCAAACUAUAGUUCUCGCACUCCACCAUCUCAGAAUCUAAGGAUGAAAUGUUUCAGCUACCCAAAACUUAUAUAUCGCCAAAACACGUUACAUCUUAAACUCUAGUCAAAAUUACCCAGUUAGUAAGAUGGUGGGUAAGAGAUAAUGCACCUCGAUAAGUAAAGUUUAUCUCCAACUACGAAGGAAGUGAUGUUAGUAAACAAUCUUCGGUCACACAUUACACAUAACCUAAUAGUUUAGCAGACUUCAAUGAUUUUACAAAUGAAAUUGAUUUACUUGGAACCGGGAGUAGGUGGAGUUAAAGCUACCCUUCUGGGUUUGUGGAAGGCUCUGGGCCAGAUCCGAAUAGUUAGAGUCAAGAAGAAUGAUUAUGUGGUAACAGUGGGUUCAGAACAGUUGGCUGGAAAGUUGCUAGAGGAUAGUCCCUGGAAUGUGAAGGGGUAUUGCUUUUCGGUGAGGCACUGGCCUAAGUACCACUCUGUUGAUGAACUGGAUGUGAAUUGAGCUAUGUAUUGGAUACAAGCUCAUGGUCUUCCACAAGAGCAGAUGACGGUAAAUAAUGGCCGGAAGCUUGGCAACAUGUUGGGAUCAGUGAUCGAUGUUGAAGAUCUAGCUAUCACUGGAAAUAUGGGUUAUCUUCAUCUAAGGGUCGAUUUUGAUAUAAAAUGUCCUUUGGCUACCUUUGUGAGGCUUCCAAGGAGUGGUUCUUCAUACUCCAUGAUUAGGCUCUAAUAUGAAAACCUGAAGAUCUUUUGUUACAAAUGUGGAAGAUUAGGCCAUAUGAGCAUAGCCUGCAAUUAUCGUGUCAACCCGGCACUUCGAGAAUUGGGUAUUUCCAAUGAUCAAUCCCUAGUUGCAGAAGCUCCACAAAAACCAGCCUAUACACAGGGCCUUUUCCCACUGGAGUUUCCUUAUGCUCCGGCAACCAGAAUUUUUCACCGGAGUAGGAAGCAACAUGGAGCUAUGGUGAAUUCAAAUUCUGGGGAAGCAAGGCAGGGCGAUGGUGACCGGUCUCUGCAUGCAGCUGGUCUAGUUUUUUUAUGGAGAUGGCUCACUAAUCAAGUCUGGAGCCGUUUGUGAUGAGUCCCCAUCAAUAGUGAGAAUCCCCAAACCAAAGUAUAUAAGUAUGGGGGUUGAUUAUUGGAACCCAGAUGCAUAUGGUGUUAUGUAUCGAAACAGUAACCUUACUAGAGCGGUUGGUGGACUCAACUUAAAUGAGUGUUGGGCUGACCUAGAAUGUAUUCCCUCAUAGGCCUUUAAAAAGAAAGAAGACCUCUUUAUAGCAAACCACUCAUGGUCUUAAAUUAUCAGCUAGUAUUGGGAGAACAAGGGGGAGAGGUAGAGGUGGCAGAUCUGGUCAUGGAAGAGGAAGCAAAGGGAAGAGGGUCGAUGGAGAAUUACCUCUUCUCUGAGGGUAGGGGACUGCACUUGGUGAUGGUGCGCGUACUGAGUUUGUAUUGAGUGACAAUGAGAAGAAAGUUGGUACGAAGGACGUUACCCACCUUCGGGCCAAUGGCGGCUGGCCGAAAUCAGUUGCAAGUGAUCAAUGAAUUGUCUGCUGUGGAACUGUCAAGGUUUGGGAAGGUCCUUGAUAGUCCAAAAUUUAAGGGAGAUGAUUCACUCCCAAGACCCACUUUUUGUUUUUUUGGUCUGAAACACACCAAAGAAGUGAUUAUGUGAACAAGAUUUGUGAUGACCUGAAUUUUGAUACAAGUUUUAACAUUGAUCCAACGGAGUCAACAACCAGUGGUGGUGGAAAGGGAAUGUUAAAGUUGAGUUUGUGGACUAUUAUAAGUUUUUUAUAGACUCCUUAGUUGAGUUGCCAAAUUGUGACACCAAAGUUCGGAUCAGCUAGAUAUAUAGUCCACCAUAUGGUGAAGAUAAAGAUCUUUUCUGGAAUCACUGGAAUUUUCAAGCUAGGGGUGAUGGUAUUCUGUGGUUAUUUAUUGGUAAUCUUAACGAGUUACCCAGCCAAGAAGAGAAGGAAGGCGGUGUGGCUUGGUCUAUUGGACGAGGUCGUAUUCUCAGUAAUUUCAUCAACUCUAAUAAUCUGUUGGAUAUUGGUUUCAAGGGUCAGAAUUUUACUUGGGGGAGAAGGGAAGGGGGAAAAGUUGUACUGCAAGAAAGGAUUGACAAGGGUCUGAUUAGUGACGAUUGGAUCUUUUACUGGCCAGAAACUACAAUUACUCAUUUGACUCUAUUGGGGUUAGAUCAUACCCCUCUCUGGCUACAAAUUGAUCUGAUUUUGAAGAACGGUAAGGCCUCUUUCAAGUUUCUAUCUUAUUGAACCGAGGAUGCGGAUGUGUACCCACUGAUUGAGGAGUGCUGGAACCAACCGGACUUGGGCUCAAACUUGUCCAAGUGGACCUCUAAACUCGCUAAAAGUCAGAAUCGACUAUCUAACUGGAGUAGGAGUAAGUUCCGAAGAUGUAACAAAGAGGAGAUCAAACAGUAUCUAGUGGAUUUGGAUGACUUGUAGACAAAUCAACCGUUUAAGAGUACUGAGCUACAAACUGAGUUAGAGGCCAAGCUGAGCUCUCUUUGGAUCAGAGAGGAGAAAAUCUGGCACCAAAAGUCGAGAAUUAAAUGGCUUCAGGUUAGGGAUUCUAAUUCCCGUUUUUUUUCAUCUCACUUCUCUUUAAAGAAGGUAAUGAAACCGUAUUCUUCAUAUCAAAGAUAGGAGGGGUCUCUGGGUGGAUGGAGAGAGCAGAAUUAGAAGGGAGUUUGAAGCUCAAUUCAACGAUGUUUUUACUAGCGGUGGACCUCGUGAUUGGGGACAAGUGUUUAUGGGGGUCAGCCCUAUUGUUUCUGAGGAUAUGAACUCAUUUCUAUUGACUCCGGUUACUCUUGCGAAGGUAAAGGAAGCUUCUAAUCAGUUAGUGGCUUUGAAGGCACCAGGACCGGAUGGAUUUCCUGGUCUUUUCUAUCAAAAGUAUUGGAAUAUUGUGAAGUCGAUUAUCAUGGGUACGGCAACAGAUUUCUUGGAUGGAAGAGUGAAUUUACAGAACUUGAAUAGGACUCAUAUUGUCAUUAUCCCUAAGGUUCCUUACCCAGAAACUACUUCCGAAUUCCUGCCGAUAAGUUUAUGCAACAAUUCGUACAAAAUCCUAUUGAAGUUGCUUGCAAACAUAUUAAAGGUUUGUUUGCCGGACUUAAUAUCUCCCAAUCAGAAUGCUUUUUUCCCUAACCGGCUUAUCCAAGACAAUAUUCUUUUGGUUCACGAGGCGUAUCACUACCUCAAGUUGAAAAGAGAUAGGGGAAAUAAUGAAUUGGCUCUCAAGUUGGAUAUGAAGGCCUAUGACCAGGUGGAGUGGGAUUUUCUUGAGACUGCUCUCCUAAGAUUUGGCUUUGCAAGAGAAUGGGUUACUUUGAUCAUGGCUUGCGUCAUGUCGGUCACUUUCUCUAUUGUCCUAAAUAGGAAACCUGGGAAUUUCUUCCAGCCUAGUAGGGAUUUGAGAUAGGGGACCCCCUCUCUCCCUAUCUAUUCCUAAACAUAAGUGAAUCUCUCUCCCUCCGUAUGACUAGAGCUGUAUCAGAUGGCACAGUAAAGGGAAUUCAGUUAUGUCAGGGAUGCCUUACAUUGUUGCACCUAUUCUUCGCAGAUGAUGCACUCUUUUUCAUGAAGGCAACCCUAGCGAAUGUAUGGCAGCUUGACCUCAUUUUUAAAGAGUAUUGUACGGCAUCGAGACAACUGAUUAAUGACGGUAAAUCUAGCAUCUUUUUCACCCCUAAUACUCCUAUUCAAAUGAGCCUUAUGUGUGAAUUACUGGGUUUUUUGGGAGUAUUAAAUCCAGGAAGUUAUUUGGGCCUCCCAACUGUGUGGGGAAGAUCUAAGAAGGAGGCACUUGAUUAUCUCUUUGAUCGGUUAAAACAGAAGCUAGAUGGCUGGAAACAAAAGUCCUUAUCGUUGGCAGGCAAAGAAAUUCUCAUCAAAUCUGUGGAUUUAGCUAUUCCGGCCUUCCCUAUGUCUUGUUUCAAGCUGCCGAUGUCUAUUUGUGAUGAGAUUAAUUCAGUUAUGGGAAAUUUCUGGUGGGGCUACACUGAAAAAGGAAAUAAAAUCCAUUGGAGGAGUUGGGAUUACAUUAGCAAGCCAAAGUUGGAGGGACGAAUGGGCAUCAGGGAUCUACAUCAUUUUAACAUGGCCUUACUCGCUAAACAAUGUUGGCAGCUUGUACAUGAUCCUAAUUCAGUAUGGGCAAAGAUUCUCAAAGCGAGAUACUUUCUGAAUUGUGAUUUCUUUGAAGCCGUUAAGGGGCACCAUGCUUCAUGGAGCUGGCGUGGUCUAGCCUACUUGAGGCUAGAGAUUUAUUGCUAGGUGGAGGUAUUUGGCAGGUGGGAAAUGAGAGAUUAAUAAACCCGUGGCAAGAUAAUUGGCUUCCUAUGUCACACCUUGGAAAGCUGGAAGAGAGUCGGAUAGAUGACGUUUCCAAUCUCAUCAUCACAAGUGUGCAUCAACUCAUUGAUUGGGAUAGAAGGCAGUGGGAUAUGAGCAGAAUAUUCAGCCUAGAGACAUUGCAGUCAUUCUUUCCAUUCGAGUGGGGGAUUAUGAGAGUUAGGACCGUUUCAUAUGGCCAGGUAACAAGGAUGGAGACUACUCAGUAAAGGGAGGGUAUCAUUGGGUUCAUGGUAAGCAUCAAAGGACUAUUUCGAGGAUUGGUCCAUCAUGGACUACUCUAGCUGGAUAUGGAAGAAGUUGUGGAAUUGUAAGACUCUAGCUAAGAUCAGGUUGUUCCUAUGGAGGGUACUGAACAAUGCAAGACCGGUCUUCUCUAAUCUAUAUCAAAGGAAACUCACUACCUCACCUACUUGCUUAUUAUCUGGUCAAGGUGAUGAGACUUUUGAACAUACGCUUCAGUUUUGUCCAUGGACUGAGAUGGUGUGGUUGGGUCUCUUUGGACUCAAAAUUGAUAAAUAGGCAAUUACUACUUUUGUUACUUGGUUGGAUGGUAUAAUUACACACACAACGGAUAGAUUACAAGUUCAGUGGAUGCUAACCUUGAUCAGCUUCUUCUGUUGGAGUAUUUGGAAGGCGUGAUGUUCGCUAUUGUAUUAGGGUAGGCCUCUCGAUCCUAAACACACGAUAUCUUCUGCUUUGAAGCUGGCGGCAGAGUUUAUGGAAACGGUGGAUUUGAAAUCAGCUACUUCCCUUCAUCCUAGCACUUAACUACAAUCAAACAAACAGUGGUUAGCUCCACCACUAAACACUUAUAAAGUGAACUGUGAUGCAACUUGGUCAGUACCUUCGAAUGCAAUGGUAAGAGUGGUGAUUAGAAACGUAGAUGGUGAAUGGAUUGUAGGUGAAGCCGCUGCCAUCUCGUGUAAUUCAGUAGUGGAAUCAGAAGCUGAAGCUCUUCUUCAAGGGGUCAAUUGCGCUCUUGCAAUGAACCUGAAUCAAGUCAUAUUCGAAUUAGAUUCCUUGGAAGGUAUCAAUGAACUGAGAAGCAAGAAAAAGAGAACUGGGCAAUGGAGUAUUAUGAGCCCUUCUAAUGAGGACUCCUAAGUUGAGGAUUAGUUGAAGACUUUUCGGUUUAUGGUCUAAAAGACCCAUUUUUCAAUCACAUUUUGACAUCUCAUCCGUUCAGUUUUUAGGUGUAUAUGAGUAGAUCAUUUCUACAAAUUUUCAGCCAAAUUGGUAUUCGUUAAGAUAACAAACUAGAUCAAAUUAAUGGACGAACCAAAUCUAUCAAAUAUGAACCGUUCAAGUUCAUAAUUGAUAAAUCACACUUAGGAAUGUCUUAACAAUUUUCAAUAUAGCUGAAAAUUUAGAGAAAUAAUCUACUUAUAAAUACCUAUAAACUAAAUGGUCAAAAUGUGGAUAUAAGAUCGAAAGAUGGGAUAAGCCACUUAAGGGUCUUCACUAAAAGGGCUCCCACGGAGUAUUGACCAGAUUAUUGAACAAAUCCGGCGUCGGAGUUCGGGUUUCGAGAAUUGCAAGUGAAGCUGGGCUCCAAGAUAAGCUAAUUGCGCAGCUCAUGCUGCUGCAACGCUAGCCAAAGAGGCAGUGGGUCCUUUGAGAUGGGCUUCGCAGCCACCACUGGCCUUGUUUUCAAUCCUACGAAACGACGGAUUACCGGCACCCCUGGCGGGAGCUGAUCCUCCUUGUUUCUGUGGUUUUUUUAGGUACAGUUUCUUCGUUCCUAUUUCUGGGGAUUUAGGGGAGAACUGAUUCCCUUUCUCGUUUAUGACUGUUUUUAUGCUUUGGGCUUUAGCUCUGCUGCUGGGCCUCAUUAUUAGGCAACGUCGCUAAUGAAAUUUCUAUUCACCAAAAAAAAAAAGGUCUGUGUAUUUUAGUACUUUUUUUUGUGUCCAUUGUUGCCAUGUAUUGCAGCAAAAGAAAAUGUAAAAGUAAAUAUAGCAAAAAAUAGUACGUAAAACAAAAAUUUAUUGAAUCAAAAACCUUGGAGUCAGGGUUCUUAUGCAAGCCUUUUGCAAAAUAACCCGUGAACUUGAAAAAAGGACACAAAGCUAAGCCACUCCCGUGAAUAUAUGUCGGUACAAAGCUACAAAUGACAUCAAAUUUGGAUCUUGUACUAUUGCUAGUCCAUCAUUUAACAGUUAUAACGAUUAACACAAAGCUUUGUCACAACCCAAGUCAUCCAAGCAUAAUUUUAGAAUAGUAAUAGUUUACGUACUAGUUAAAUACUAGGGCCAUUGACCAAAAGAGUCAUGGGAUCUGGGAAAUGAUCGCAGCAAACAGAGGAGAUUUAGGUGCAUUGCUCACGGGCAACACCGAGCCUUGAGUUGGGCACAUCAAUGAGCACCCUGUGAUUCUGCUGCUGCAUGUUGGCGAUCACAUUCAGAACCGAGUUCACAUUGUCUGGCGCCGCUGCCAUGGCCAAACAUGUUGUGCUACCUGCCGUGCUCCGGAUCACUACGUUGUCGGCCGGCAGCGUCACGUUCAUGCCCGUGAACAUGAAAGUGAUCGUGGGCACGACAAUCGGGGCAGUGUAGCACGUGUCGAAUCCGCCGAGGGUCGUCACCAGUAGCUUGCGGCCGACUCUUCGGCGGAACUCGUUGCGGACUGCCUCGUAGGCGGGUGUCACUAGCCGAGUGAAAACAGUGCCUAAAACAAAACAAAAUCAAACUCUCAUCGUGAGUGUUAUGAAUGCAAACGAUCCAAGGACUCGAAUCAAUUAUAACAACAACAAUGUAUAAUUUUCAAAAACUUUUCACUAAUUAUCAAAGAUUAUUAAAUAUUAGAUCUCAUAACUAUCCAAUCAAGAGGCAAGAGUCAUGAUAAUUAUGAGUUUGGGGAAUUUUUGUUUUUAGGGUAAAAACCAAAUCCAAAGUCUAAUAGCUAGCUAGGUCCUUUAGCUAAAUCAUUACAUGUCUAGUCACAUGUCAUAGCAAACGUACAUGUGGUUGGUAUAGACAGUAAGAUCAACAAGGAUCCAAGAAUCAUUAUAAUCAAAAACAUUCUUUUUAAUCAAAAAAACAAAACUAGUGAUUAGAUUUCAGAAAGUGUUUGAUAAUAAUUACCAGAAUCAAUGACUGUCCCUGCACCAGUAGUGGGAUUGAAAGCCAAAGCAGAUGGGGGGAUAUCAACAAUUCUCCUUCCAACCCUAAUUGCAUUUAGGUUGACAUAAUAGAGUGAUGCCCUCCUAGGGUUCUUAAGCAAUGGGGUGUACUUGAUCUUAAUGGGUUGCCCAACAGUUCCAAGCCUCAGUGACCCAGAGAAGUUGAGUGACUUGUAGCCAGGGAGGCAGUAUGAGAACGUGGAUUUGUAGAGGUUUUGGGUCUGGGAUAGAAGCGACAACGGCCCUCGGCCAAGACCCAGAAGACCCUGCGGCGGCACUGAGCUGCCGGUGGUCUUCUGGAUGCAACCGAAGGUGUAGGCAGGCACGACAUCGUUGGCUAGGGUGAAGGUAUCUGUUGAUAGGUUUGAUGCUAUGCUGGAACCUCCAUAUGUCAUAUUGAAGCUGCAGGUGCUUCCAAGGCAGCUGGGGUUGGGUGCCUGAAAAUCCACAUGCCAUGAUGGUAAAUCAUUUUUUACCAUUCUAGUAAAGUACUCCAUAAACAUUAUUACGUAGCAAAAAUAAGUGUGUCCAUUAUUGACACCAUUACUUUAUUGUUAAUCAAAUCAAAGAUUAGCCUACUUUAAGAGAUUUGAUUAUUAUUAUUAGAGCAUCAUUUUCCAUGUUGGUAAAGUGCUCACAUAAUCAUGUACCAAAUAAAGAGUGGUCACGUUCUUCACCUUUGUAGUUAAGAAAGAAAGAGGGGAUCUGCUUAGAUCUUUUUCAUCACUGAUUAAAACAUAUGAAACUGAAAAGAUGAAAAUGAAGAACACUGGUAAAAUACCUGCUUGCACUGAGGAGCUCCACAGCCAACAGACUUGAAGGUGGUGGAUUUGAGAGAGUUAAAGACAUUGGAAGAGCAGCCGACGCAGCCAUUGCAAGGAACCCAAGCAGCAUCACUGCUGGUGUCGACAGCCAUGAGCAGAGUCUGAGGAGGAGUUCCAAUCUUGGCCCUCACAAUGUAGGUGGGGCUCUGAAUGAUUUGUCGUCCCGACGCAAUGGGGACGAUAGACUUCUUAGCCCCGGCGAGGCUGGCCAAGAACUGGAGCCUGGCCUGGUCCUUGGCCAGCGUUUGGAGCACGUCCUCCUCCCAUGAGAGUGUCUGUGCGGGUCUG